GUCCAAAUUCUUCUUUACUGCCUAUAUGUGUUGGACUUUGUCUAUUGUUCAACUUCUCAAAUGGAUUCCAUGCAGGGUUUUGAAUGUCCAAUUAGGAGAAAGAUCAAGGCUUGCUUGGCUAGGAGUGGAAGCGGAUCCGCUACUUCAGUCAGAUGACCUUUUGAAGAAGGCUUACAACAGGCCGUCUCAGGAUGUCAAUGGCUCAACUCAAAAGUCCCCAAGGUGGUUGAUAUCAAAGAAUGCCAUUGUCUCUGGGCUUGGGCUCCUUGGCAUCAAACAAGGGAAUGUCGACUCUGUUGAAGAGGAAGCAAGGGCUCCUAAAGUGCGAAGAAAGAGGAUAGUCCGGAAGAAGGUGACCGCAUAAAUUUCUUGGGAGUUAAUCCUAGUCAAUAGCCCAAUUUUGCUGCCUGCCGAAGAGAUACAACUCGGAAGUCCUCAUCAAACUCUUUGAGACAUCUAAGAACUAGUAGGGAGGUGUUUCCUGACAAGUAUAGUUCACUGCUGGAGGGAUUCUUUUCUUGAUGUCUAAAUACUAUAUGUGAUACAACGACGUAUAUUCCAAUUUUUCUCUAGUUAAAUUCUAGUAAGUUAGAAAAGUUAAUUUUGUUCUAGGGAUGAAUUGUUUUCUUAAUAAUAAUAAUGGCCUGUUGCUUUGGAAUCUUAUUCACUCUCUGUAACCCAGUUAAAUUGUGCAAAUUGUACUGCAGAUUUAUCAAACAGAGUGUCUUUGUGAUUGUUUUGAUACACUUUUGAUGGCAAGUUCAAGUUUGAAUCAUCUUGUAACGCCAAAAAACCAUAGCUUUUAAUUACGAGAUCAGCUUUUAGUAUUAGCGGUAAUUAUAGUAUAAGCGUUGAUAUUAUGUAAUAAAUAUGAUUGUCAAAACAAUAAUUUUGAUAAAAUUAUUAAAGAUAUUUUAAAUUUUUUAUAUUAGAGUAUGAGGUUAGAUCAAUUCAAGUAAUAUUGUAAGUGUUUACUAAAUACUCUUAACGUUGUAUCUUAAAAAUUAUGCCGUACGAAACUCUUACCAAAUUUUAUGCCUAAAUUUUUGUCAACAAAUUGGUCCCAGUUCCAUGCUUCUUCGGCUUGGGUGAUCCCACCAAAACCAUUACGUCCAUUCAAAAGGGUUCCACGUUGAGUGCACGAAAUCCACAAGUUCGAUUGAGCAGAAAUAGCCAAAAGGAAACUGAUGAAACCCACGUCCAAAGAUGCCGUUGUCGCGGAGGCCUAGACACUACACCCCGUCCCCUUUUGCCAUAUUUUAUAAUUGAAGAGGCCAUGCUUGAAUUGAAAAAAGAAUAUGAUUCAAAAUCCCAAAAUAGAAAAAGAAAAGCAAUUGUUGGAGACACACUCGGAGUUUUAAAUUGACAUGAGAAAAGAAUUUACUAUUAUUAUUAUUAUUAUUAUUAUUUCUUUUUAACAAAAAUUUAAGCUCAGACAACAUUAUAUGCCCAAAAUACCCCUCACAUUAUCCCGAACUUUCUAAACUCCCCCAUUCCUCUCAACAUCAUCUCUUUCUAAUCUUUCCUCCCCCUAAAAACCAGCCAUGGCUUCAAAUUCAAUCACCUCAACACUCCAAUAUUGGCUUGUAAACCACCCCCAAAUCCUCAACUUCACAUGGACUCAAAGCCAAACCCCAGCUUCCUCCCCAGACUUCCUCAUUCUCUCCAUCCUCACUUACCUCUCCCUCACAUUCAUCCUCUACCACAAAUUAACGCCAACAUCACCAUCAUCAUCACCUCUCAUUGGACCCCACAUCCUCAAGCCCAUCACAGCCGUCCAUAACCUUACCCUCCUCCUCCUCCCCCUCGUCAUGGCCGUUGGUUGCACUCUCUCCAUCGUCCUCCAUUCACCCGACCUCCGUCACACCCUCUGUUUCCCCCCCUCCAUUUCUCCCUCCGGUCCCCUCUUCUUCUACGCUUACAUCUUCUACCUCUCCAAAAUACUCGAAUUCCUAGACACCCUUUUGAUCAUUUUGACAAACUCCGUUCAACGGCUCACGUUCCUCCACGUCUACCACCAUGCAACCGUCGUCGUAAUGUGCUACCUUUGGUUACAGACGAAGCAGUCUUUGUUUCCUAUCGCACUUGUCACCAAUGCAAGUGUGCACGUGAUCAUGUACGGGUACUAUCUAUUGUGUGUGAUGGGGUUGCGGCCAAAGUGGAAGAGAUUGGUCACUGACUGUCAGAUUGUUCAGUUCGUGUUUAGUUUUUUUGUUUCAGUUUUGAUGCUGUAUUAUCAUUUUGCGGGAUUUGGAUGCUCUGGGAUCUUGGGUUGGUGCUUCAAUGCUGUGUUUAAUGCUUCCCUUUUGACACUUUUUAUUAAUUUUCAUUCCAAGAGCUAUGCUAAGAAAAAGCAGGGAUGAUCAAAACAAAUCGUCGUUGUGAUUGUUCUCUGUGUGUGUUUUUUUUUUGUGGUUAAUUAUGAAUGGUUGUGAUCGGUUCAUUGCAUUUGACAGAGAUGUUGAAGGGUUAUGUACUGGAAAAUAGAAAUUAAACCAAAAUUAUCACUAUAACUGGUACAUUAUUACCAUCACAGAUCAAGAUCUGAAUGGACGCAUAGCAGCCAUCCUCAAAACCAAAGGAGGAGAAAAUUGAAAUAGAACAACCACCUUAAGGUGAAGAAGGCCAGAACAAGACACACAUCCUCAAAUCAUAAGGAAGAGGUGGGUGCAACCGAAAAAAAAAAAGAAAAAAAGAAAUCAAGAAUCCACUGGAGAAGGCAAGAAAGAUUUUUGCCUCCGAAGAUUUGGUGAGGAAGAGAUGAGGAGUUAGAAGAGGAAAAGUUUUCGGAGAGAUCUGCAGAUUAGCUUUAAAAGUGUGUUUUAAAGAAAAAGUUGUUGAGAACUUGAGAGGAUACAUAUGCAAUCAAUCCUUUACUCUUCAUGUUUGUGGACUAUGUGGAAUGUUUAUCCACUGAGUGUAAUCGUGACGGUUGGAUUGAGUGAUUAAAAUCACACGGCUGAUAUUAGUUGGUUCUAUGUUGGAGUUGAUCCAACAUAGCCUGAGCCUUUAAAUAAAAAACAAUACAACCCAUGCAUCCAAGCACUUAAAGUUGGCUUGAGUGCAUGGGUUAUUGUCAAUUUUCUUUCCAAUUAAAUUAGAUAGGGAUAAAAUUAUCUCUUUAUUAAUAAGAAUAAAGUAGAUAUCUCUCUAACCACUCGGCUCAGCCCGAGUGGCCAGGGCUGCUGCCCUCCAAUUUGGAGGGCAGCAGUUCGAACUCCCACAAAAGUAUUGUAGGGGUAUUUUCUUUUUCAAUUAAUUGAGUGAAGGUAGUCUUCUUCUUUACCCAUGAGUGAUGAGUAGACAUCUCUCGAAUAUUUGUGAGGGUUAAAAUCUGGGCAGAGCUUCAUUAGCAUUGAUGUAAGUUGGUCCCAAUAAUAGUCUGAUUUGUAAAUAUCAGUUAUAGUCUCAUGUAAUAUGAGUUGUAAUCUGAGCAAUAGUCUCAUGUAAUAAAAAAAAAAGUAGACAUCUCUCUCGCUUUUCCUCUUAAUUAAACUUAAUAGGAGUAAAAUUAUCUUCUGAUUAAUAAGGAUAUAAUAUAUACCUCUCUAAUAUUAUGUGAUGGUAGAAAUUUGAGUUGUACCGUAAUAAAAUUAUCAAGGUUAGUGUUGAUAGAAUUAAUGCAAAGAAUUAAGAUAAAGCCUCAAAGAUGGAACAAAGGUUAAAAAAAAAAAAAGAGUACAAGACAAAGAAAUAAGGAAACAAAAGAAGACCAAAAAUAAAAGAAAAAAUAAUUUGGAAAACAAAAAAAUGGAUUGCAAUUUUAAACUUUAAUGAAGGAUAAAUUGUAGUGGAUGCCAUUGUUGGUAAUUUAUUAUAUUUCAAAGCUCAAAUAAGGAAUAAAAUUAUUAUUAUUAUUUUUUUGCAAUAACUCGUUUCAAAUUUUAAAAGAUUAUAACUUUUUGUUUUUUAACAUUUUAAUCAUAAAUUAAAAAGGAGUUACUAUUCAAGAUUCCUAAGAAUACUGAAAAAAAUGAUAAAUAUUAUUCUAAGAAAAUGAUAUAUAUUGGAUAUACUGAAAUAUUAUAAAUUAUUAAUUAUUUUACUAUUUUACCCCUUAGUUUUAUGUUUGGGGGAAAAAAAUACUAAAAUGGCUUUCAAUAAAAAGAAUUAUUAUUAAAAAAAUAAGAUUAAAAUUAUAACAAAUGAUAUUAAUAAGAAAGAAACUGAUAAAAAUUUGGGAUUAGAAAUAGGGGUUAAGGCUUUAGUCCUUGAAUUUCUCUAAAUUUUAUAUAUUUUUUAAUUUUUAACCCGUCAAAUUACAUUAUUAAUGGAAUGUCAAUAAAUUUUGCGCGUUAAUUUGUCUUUUAGAUACUUUGAAAGGUAAAAUGGUAUUUUGAAUGUAAAAGUCAACUAAUUAAUUAAAUAUUUAUAUUCCUAAGAUAUUUAAAUUCAAGAGAAGGGUAAAAAUUAUUUUUUAAAUUUUCAUUGUGGUGAUAUCAUAAAAUAAAUUUGUGAUUAUCAUACUUGUUUUAUAGAUUAAGAUAUAAGUAAAAGUUAAAUUAAUCUUUUAAUGGUUUUUUUACUUUUUUUUUCUAUAGGGAGUUAUUAUUAAUAAUUUCUUUUGUCGUCUAACUUGAAAUAUAAUAGACCUUAAGGGGCGAAAUAAAAUUAUUUUUGUUAACUCCACAAAACUGUUAAUUAGUUAGGGUUAGGGGCAUUCUCAUAUUUUUUAAGUCAACAUCAGUUAACUAUUAAAAAUAACAGUAUUUGGCAGGUAAAUUGAAGUUUUCGUAUUUUUGGAGGGUAAAUUGAAGUAUUUCAAUCUAAUAAGGGUGUGGGAUGAAAUUUAACUAUAAGUAAAUUAUUCGUGAGGCAUGCUUUUUACAACUUUUGUUUUCUUCCUUUUUUUUUCUUUUGAGUUUUUGUUUUUGUUUUACAUGGCACUGACCCGACCAGUACAAAUUAAUUUUAGAAUAUUUACAAUUAUGUACCAUAGUUGUGGAGUAGAAUCAUAGAAAUUAAAGAUGGUAAAAUUAUUGAUGUGUGGGGUGGGGGAGGAUAACUAUUAACUUUUUUCAUGCAAUGUAAGAAGAAUGCAACUGCUCCUUUGAUUUGGUAUUUUCGUAACAAAAGCACACUUAACAUCUUAUCAAAUUAUAUCUCCUUUUCCUUGUCAGAAUGGCGGAUGCGAUCGCUUCCCCUCUUCUUGGGCAACUGAACUCCUUUGCUGCUUAUGAAAAAGUGAAACAACAGGUGAGGUUUGUGACUAUUCUCCAACAAGUGAAAAAGCUUACCACAAAUCUUCAAGCCAUUCAAGCUGCUCGAAGAUACGUAGCAAAGGCAAGUUGAUGUAGGAUGGUUGCAUAGAAUGAGUAGGUAUCUUCCGAAGGUCAUAACUUGAGACACAGAUAUCCGUUCCAUUUUGAAUGUAUAGUAUAUCGUUUCAAAGCUUGCAAUAAGUUGAAUCAAAUGCAGAACAAUCUACGCUAUCCUGCCCUGUGGUUGAGCAAAAAAAUUCACUUCUUUUUUGGUUGUUUUUUAGUUUUAAGAUAUUUUUCUAAUUUGUCGUGAUUCUUUUGGGAUUUUUAUCCUUUGUUUCUAGAUAUUGGAUUUGAGUUCCAUUUGUUUUCCUUUUCUUAUUUAGAUUAGAAGGAUUUUAUUAUCAUAUAAUAUUUUGGAUUUGCCUAUUUUGGUAAAUUCCUAAUAUUUGUGCUUCUAUAAAAGUGGUUCAAUACCCCAAUUUUGUUUGUUCAAAUUAUUCGCAAUAAAACUUUUUAUUUAAAAACCUAGUUUCUAUUAUCUAAUAGCCUUUUAAUGUUUCCUCAUUGUCAGCUGGUAUUAGAGUAAGUUCGCUUGUUAUCAUGAUGUGACCACACGAAGGGACAACCGUCCCGAAGACAUUCAAGGGAAGUAGACAACGACUGUGGAGGCAGAGGCGAAGCUCAGGGAAGGCUAACACGGGCUGCAGCCUGGGUAAGCUUUUUGAAAAAAAAAUUAUUUAUAAUUUAUAAAUUUACUUUUAUUAAUAUUUAUAAAAAAAUAAAAACAAAGCCAAUAUUUAUAGGAAUCUUUAUUUUACCCAAAUCACAAUUCAUAAAACUCACCAGUAUCUAACUAAAUCUGAAUUUGAAAUUCACCAAAAUACAAUUGCUCAAGUCUCUUACCGCUGCUGAAUACCCAGUCUCCUGCGCUUGAAUUGACGCCCAGCCACUGCCUCAUGAGUGACGCCGAGCCACUGCCACAAGGCCCGCACCCGCAGGUUGAAUCUCUCACCGCCGAGCCGACGCCGAAUGCCUAGUCUCUUGAUGCAGCCCCUGGUACAAAGCACUUUGCCUUUUAAACUUUAGUUUACAGAAUAUAAUAUGAUUUUAUGAUAAUGAUGGUUGGCACACGAAGUGGAAUUGUGGAAGACUGGAAGUUGUUGAUUUUGUGAACUGUGAUUCAUCUUUUUAAAAUUAUAAAAUAAUAGAAUGUGACAAACGGUGAUGAUAGCAUAUAAAGUGGAACUGUGAAAGGUGCUGAUUCAUCUUCUUGGAAUUAUAAAAUAAUGAUGGCAUGAAAGAAUGAGUGAAUAAAAUAGUAAAACAAUUAAUUUAAAUGCUGACUUUUUUAAUUAGCUUUUAACUUGCGAUUUUUUCAAAUUUUUUAUAAAAUAAAUACUAAAUUUUAAUGUAUUUUAUUACAGAUUCAAUGUUAAAUAAACCAAGAAAAACUCUACUUUCUUUUUUUAAGAGAGUAGGUGAAAAUCAAUCAUCCACUAAGUCUUUAUCUCCAUGUCAAGUUAAUGCUCAAGAUUCCAAUGAGCAACAUACUUCCAAGUUUCAAAGGGUUGAAGUUGAAGAAACUAGAAAUACUUAUCUAGAGCGUGAUCCUGGAUUACGUCAUCAAAUAGGGACAUAUUAAGUAAAUCAACGUGAUGAUAUUAGAAGGGAGUACAUCAAAAUGGGACCUUAUUAGCCUAAACUACGAGAUUAUCCACUAACUAAUGAUGGCAUGCAAGAACGUAGGUUUCACUAUCACUGGUUUAAAAAAUUUCCAUGGCUUGAGUACUCUGAGGUAAAAGGUGCAUUUUGUUUUCCAUGCUUUCUUUUUUAUGAAAUUCCAUCAAACAACCCAAAAUUUGUUAUUGAAGGAUUUUCUAGUUGGAAGAGAGUCAACAAUGGAAAAAAAUGUCCCUUUUUACAGCAUGAAGGGGGUCCAUCUUCUCAUCAUAAUAAGAAUAUGCAGAGUUAGGGUUGUUUGAGGAACCAAAUUCAACACAUUGAUAGAUUAAUUAAUGCCCAAACUUCACAACAACUUUUGGAGAAUAGGCUACGAUUGAAGACCGCAAUUAUUGCUGUUAAAUGGUUAGCAAAGCAAGCAUGUGCUUUUAGAGGUCAUGAUGAAUCAGUUAAUUCAAGAAAUCGGGGAAAUUUCAUAGAGUUGAUAAAGCAUUCAAUGGAGUGUAGUAAAGAAAUUGCUCAAGUUGUCUUGGAAAAUGCUCCAUCAUAUGCUAAGUAUACAUCGUCUGACAUUCAAAAAGAGCUUUUAAAUAUUCUUGCAAACAAAGUGCGAAACAAGAUACGCAAGGAACUUGGAGAUGGUAAGUUUUGUAUUUUAGUAGACAAAGCACUUGAUGAAUCUGAUAAAGAGCAAAUGACUAUUAUUUUAAGGUAUGUUGAUUGUGAUGGGUAUAUUCGAGAACGUUUUUUUGAAGUUGUCAAUAUCAUGGAAACUACAGUAGUAACAUUGAAAAAAGAAAUAUGUAAUGUUCUUGCACGAUAUGAUAUUUUAGUUGAAAAUAUCUGAGGGCAAGGGUAUGAUGGUGCUAGUAACAUGUGGGGUGCAUGGAAUGGAUUACAAGCAUUAUUUUUGAAAGAUUGCCCAUAUGCAUAGUAGUUACACUGUUUUUCACAUCAACUACAAAUUGCUUUAGUUGCAACAUCUAAUGAUGUGCUAGAUGUAUGGCUUUUCUUUUCAGCAUUGGGUUCAAUUGUAAAUGUUCUGACUUCAUAUGCUAAACGGCUUUCUGAGUUAAAAUCUAUUUGGGAAGCAGAAAUAAUAGAUUUGAUAGCUUCAGGAGAAGUUCAAACUGGUACAGGGGCCAAUCAAAUUCAUACUUUGCAACGGCCUGGAGCUACUUGGUGGAGCUCUCAUUUCCGUUCUGUCAGUAGGUUGCUUGAUUUGUUUAGUGUUGUUCGUAAAGUUCUUGGGAAGUUGGUAGAGUGUGGACCUAACAAUAGCAUAUGUGGAGAGGCUAAAGGUGCAUGUGAAUCAAUGACAUCUUUAAAAUUUGUGUUCAUUUUGCAUUUAUUAAAUAAAUUUUUGGGGGUGAGUGAUUUACUUUCUCAAGCAUUACAAGUUAAAUCUCUAAAUAUUCUAAAUGCUAUGCACUUAGUCUCAACUACGAAAAAACUUCUUCAAAGGCUGCGCGACAAUGGUUGGGAAACUUUCAUUGAGAACAUAGUUCUAUUUUGUGAAAAGAAUGAGAUAGAUAUGCCCGAUAUGAAAGCUCGCCAUAUGAAAGGCAGAGGACGUUCUUGUCAUCAGAAUGAUUAUAUUACAGUUGAGCAUUAUUAUCAUUAUGAUAUAUUUAAUGUUGUGAUAGAUUUUCAAUUGAUGGAGUUGAAUAAUAGAUUUACUGAACAGACUGUGGAACUCCUCACUCUUAGUUCAGCUUUAAAUCCUAUUGAUGCAUUUAAAUCAUUUAAAAUUGAAGAUAUUUGCAGCCUUGCUGAAAGAUUUUAUCUUGAAUAUUUCACUAAGAUUGAGUCACAGGCUUUGAGAAGACAAUUAGAGUGCUUUGAAAUAGAUAUACACUCUCUUCAAGAGUUUCAGAAUAUUACUUUCCUUUCUGAAUUGUGUCGAAGAUUGGUUGAGACUAGAAAGUCACAGAUUUAUUUCUUGUUGGAUAGAUUAAUUCGUUUAGUGUUAACGCUUCCUGUUUCAACAGCAACAACAGAGAGAGCAUUUUCUGCCAUGAAACUGAUUAAGACAACACAUCGAAACAAGAUGGAGAAUGAGUUUCUUUCAAAUUGUAUGGUUAUUUACAUCGAAAGAGAAAUUGCAGACAAUAUUGACUCAGAUGCGAUAGUAGAUGAAUUUUCUUUUUUGAAGAACCACAGGACACAACUUCGUCAAUAGUGUUUUUCUUAUUUACAUUGUAUUUUUAUAGUUUUAUGGUUAAAUUUUUGCUUAUGUAGUGUGCUUAAUUUCAUUUAUAUAAAACAAAUUUUUUGAGAAGUAAAUUUAAUUUUUUUAAAAUCUAGCCCACCCAAACAAAUGAUGCUAGCUUCGCCAUUGGAGGUUAUCAGAUAGAUGGUCAAAGAAGCAAUCUUUUAAGUCAUGGAGUACGCAUAUAAUGCAAGAAUGGCAACAGACAAAUAUUAGGUUAUCUCUUGUAAACCAUAUUGAUAAAUCUAAUGAGGGAAAGAUAUUUUUUUUCUUGUCCUAGAUGACGUGUGGGAUGGAAGUUACAAUCAAUGGGAACCAUUCUUCUAUUGUUUAAAGAAUGGUCUCAACAGUAGUCAAUUUUUGAUUACUACACAUUAUUAGAUAGUAGCAAGCAUGAUGAGAUUAACAAAUAUUGUUUUUAUUAAGGAAUUAACUGAAGAAGAAUGUUGGUCAUUGUUUAAGCAAGUAGCAUUUUUUGGUCAAUUUUUUUAAGGAUAGUGACCAAAUGAUAAAAAAAUUGCAUGCAGGGCCUGCCUCUUAUUGCAAAGGCAAUAGGGAAAUUCUUACAAUAUAAAUGACCAACAGAAGAAUGGAAAAGAAUUUUAGAUAGUGAUAUGUAGAAGGUAGAAGAGAUUGGGAACAAUAUUAAUAGGGAAAUUCUUACAAUAUAAAUGACCAAUAAAAAAAAUGAAAACUACACUAUAGAUGGCUCAAAGUUACCUUAUUGUAUAAGAAGGCCAAGAGAUGAGGAUCCAAUCCAAUCUAAUAGUAGUAGUUCAUUUCAAUUUUUAUUCAUUUGAUUUUGUAGUAGUAGUUUUCAUUUUUUUUGGUUGAAAAUUGGUAAAAACAAAUUCAAAUGAGUUAAGAAUUUCAUUUCAUCUUCAAGAACUAAAAUAAUUUUAAAAAAACUCAAAAUAAACAAAAUAGGCUCAAAAACACCCCUAAUCCCAACAUUAUCUUAAUCCAUCCUAGCUGACCGAAUUUUAUUUUAAUCAAACCCCAACUUGAUCCCCAUAUAAUUAUAACCUGAUGCAAUCCAAACUAAACUUGAAUUUUUGAUUUGAUACAAUCCAAUCUGAAUAUUCUAACCCAAUCAACCUAAAACCCGAUUAAGUUAAUCUGAACACAAAUUUGCCCACUCCUAGCGAGGAUCAUGACCCUACAAGCUUGGAAAAAUUUUGAGGUUUCGAAGUGAAAUAUUAAAAAUUAGGUAUAAAAAGAUUGAUUUGACCCCUAAGAACUUGAUAUAUAAAAUUUAUACAUAUAAUAGAAAUUUGAUUUAUAUAUUAUUAAAAUAAAAUCAAGUAACUCGAUUUUUUAUUGUAUUAAUUAUUUUUCCAUUAUGACGAUAUGACAAAUAGAAUUUACCCCAUAUGGUACAAAGUCGCCAAAUAAAAUCGCUGCAGCCUGUAGCUAAAAGCAAAAUUCUAAAAUUUCGAAAUUCCUAACAACUAUAUAAUAACUAUAAAUAGAAAAACAGUCUAAAAUUAAAUCCUCAGCUAACAUUUUAAGUUUGAAGUUGGGGCCUCCUGAAGAUUUACCCCAUAUGUAUGUACUUUCCCUCAACACUCUUGGCCGAAUAUCUUGCAAACAUAUGAUACUAAAGUGUCAUUUUUUUGUUUAAAACAAAAAAUGACACUUUAAAGCAAUAGGAGAGUUUUAUGUAUUAAAAUGGUUAACGGGUGGAUAAAACUCAAAAUAAUUUUUUAACGUUUUAUCUGUUUUGACAUUCGAAUUUUAAACUUGAGAAGUCAAGCAAUCAAUAAACCUUUUUGAGAGGCUAAUUAAAUUCUUAGUAAUUUCACAUAAUUUCAUUUCAUCAGAACAGUUUUAUCAAAAGCAAUUUUAUAAAUCGUUGUUGAAAGCUUUAUUCCUUAAUUAUAUUUAUUAAAUAUCAAAAGAUUACUCUUCUAUAUUAAUUAGAUAUGUCUUUAUAAUGAGACAUCAUUUAUUUUAAAAUUGUUCCAACACUAAGAUUAUUCUAUUUUAUAUAACUUCAGAAGGUUCAUCAGUAGAUUGCUCCAAGCUUUUUGUAGUAGUUAAUUACUUAUAAUAUAAGAAAUUUUACAAGUGCGGAUGCUGAGUAGACUGCAUAAUUAUUAUGAAUCAGAGAAACAGGGCAGAUGUUGCACAAUUAUUGGUGCGGUUGAGCGGAAUGCAAAAAUGUUUGAAUGAGUACUCUGCCUACAAUCACAACAACUACUUUUCUUUGAGCAUUUUCGCAACAAAAGCAAUCGGAACAUUUAGCAAUUUAAUCCAACAUCAAUUGGCUGAUGACAUCGUUUCCCAUCUCUUGGGGAAACUGAUCGAAUUCCUCUACCUGAUAUUUCAGUAAGAUAGAAAACGUGACAUAGACAAAACACGUGCUCAUACGUUAAAGAUGCGGCAAAUUUGAGAAUAUUUAUUAUUACGUUAAAGAUGCUACAAAUGUGUUCAUCGGAGGAGUGGAAUCUGGGAAAUUAAAGAUGCUACUACAAUUACGAACGUGUGGGUGGGGAAAAGCAUAACUUUUUGCUUAUAAGAGUGGGGACUUCUUUGCAUAAAUGUCGAUAAAAGUUUGACUAAGAUCUUAUAUAUUGGAAAUUAAGAUAUUCUCUCUCUGCAUAUUUCUGUAGGAAAUAACAUGCAGAUAUAUAAUUUUAGGUUAUUGUUAAUGGUUUUACAAUAAUAAAAAUAAUUUUGUUAGACCAUAAAAUGCCGUACUCACACUCUAUUUUGUGCAGAAGUCUGCGAGAAAGGAUUUCCAUAUAUAUAUAUAUAUAUAUAGAGUCGUGUACUACAGAUUGUUAGGAAAUUGGUGGGUGAAGCAGGACCGCAGCUAAAAUAAAAUUGGAAGAAAAAUAAAGAACAAGCACAAAAGAGAAUACCAGAAAUUACGUGGUUCUGCUUUUAGCCUACGUCCACGAGCGAAGACAGAAGGAAAUAUUUUACUAGUAAAAAGGAGUUACAAGUAUUGUAAUAUUUUAGCUCACUUCCCAAAACCCCAAUACACCCAAACUCUCAAAUUACUAUAACAAGAGCUUAUAAUUUCAAGCUCUCUAAACUUUCUCUCAAAAAUGCUAAAUUGUUCUCUCUUAAUGGAAUACUACAGCUCUUCAUUUGCACUUCUAUUUAUAGCAAAAUGAUGGCCAAGAAACUCAAAACCGUGUUCCUCUUUUUCAAAACUGUGUUCCUCCUUUUCUUCUUCAAACUGCUUCUUUCCAUUUUCCUUUUCAAGCAUUUCGGCCGGCCCAUUUUUUUCUUCUUUCUUUCUUCUUUUUAUUCUUUCUCUUUUGUUUCUUUCUUUGGGCGGCACCUCCCAACCAAGACAACCAAGACUUUAACAUUCUCCCACUUGGAGAUUUGAUUGAGAAUCAAUCAAUCUCCACACCAUCCUUUCUGCUUCGCCAUAAUCAUGUUGCCUACGUUUCUGCUAGGCCACAAGAGGAUCUACUCCAGAUAAACUUGUCAACAUUUAUCGGCUUGGUCAAAACAUUUGCUAGGUUCUCCUUCGUAUAGAUUUUCUGUAAAUCCACAUUUCCGUCUUCUACUACUUCUCGAACGAAGUGAUACUGAACUCCUAUGUGCUUUGUCCUGGAAUGAAAAGCUGGAUUCCUUGCAAUGUGCAAGGCACUCUGACUGUCACAAAACACAGAAAUUUUCUCUUGUUUGUGCCUGAGCUCCUCCAAUAACCUUUGUAUCCAAAUAGCUUCCUUGCAAGCUUGUGUAGCUGCCAUGUACUCUGCUUCUGUUGUAGAUAAAGCCAUAAAGGUCUGCAGUUUUGAAACCCAGCUUACAGCUGCUCCUGCAAGUGCAAACACAUAACCAGUAGUGGAUUUCCUUUUAUCAAGGUCUCCUGCAAAAUCUGAAUCCACAUAGCCCUUGACAGUAAACUCUGAUCCUUCAUAACAUAAUGCAACAUCUGAGGUUCAUUUGAUGUAUCUCAGAAUUCUCUUCACAGCUAUCCAAUGCUCUCCACCAGGAUUCGCCAUGUAUCGACUGAUUGCUCCCACUGCUUGUGCAAUGUCUGGUCUAGUACAUAUCAUAGCGAACAUCAAACUUCCCACUUCUGAUCCAUACGGUACUCGAGACAUCUCCUUCCUCUCUGCUUCAUUGCUAGGACACAUACUUGAGGAUAGUUUGAAAUUAACAGGAAGUGAGGUAGAAAUUGACUUCCAAUCUUGCAUGUUGAAGUGCCGCAAGAUUUUCUUCUGUGAAAGCCAAAUCUUCCUGUUAUUUCUGUCUCGAUGAAUUUGCAUCCCUAGAAUCUUGUUUGCUGGUCCCAAGUCCUUCAUUUCAAACUCCCUAGCCAACUGUGCCUUCAAUUCUUAGACUCGAUCUUUGUUGGAGCCUGCUACCAACAUGUCAUCCACACACAACAGCAAAAUAAUGAAAUCAUUAUCUUCAAACCUCUUGUAAUAUGCACAAUGGUAUGAAUUGAGUCUGUUGUAUCCAAGGCUCAUGAUGAAGGAAUCAAAUCUCUUAUACCAACAUCUCGGCGCCUAUUUGAGACCGUAUAGAGAUUUGUUCAACCUGCAAGCCAAGUUCUCCUUUCCUCUUUUUGCAAAACCUUCUGGUUGGAGCAUAUAUAUUUCUUCUUCAAGUUCUCCAUGAAGAAAUGCAGUUUUCACAUCUAACUGCUCAAGAUGUAAGUCAAAUGUAGCACACAUCGCCAAGACUACUUUGACUGUUGUAAGUCGAACCACCGAAGAAAAUAUCGCGUUGAAGUCAAUACCUUCUUUUUGAGCAUAUCCUUUCACUACCAUUCUUGCACGAUACCGCUCCACUUGGUCAUUGCCAUCAUGUUUGAUCUUGUAGACCCAUUUGUUUCCAAUGACUUUUCUUCCUUGUGGUAGUGGUACAAGUUCCCAUGUCUUGUUCUUGUGUAAAGCUUCAAUUUCUUCCUGCAUUGCUGUCAUCCACAAAGCAACAUCUGAGCUUUCUAAAGCUUCAUGGAAAGUUGAUGGCUCUCCAUCCUCUGUUAGAAGAUAGUACGCAACAUUGAUCUCUGUGACAUACUCCGAGUGCCACACUGGCGGUUGUCUCUCACGAGUUGACUGACGAACUUCUGGAGCCUCGGACUCGUCUGAUUCUUGUUCCUCGUGCUCUGGUGCUGCUUCAGAAGAAUCUGAAUCUUCUGGAUUAUUUUCGACAUAUACCGGCACAGUCUCUGACUUUUCUUUUGCAGUGCCAUCAUCCUCAUCUCUCCUUUGCAGUUGAUCUUCUACAAAGAUAACAUCUCUACUGAUGACGAUCUUGUGGGCAGUGGGGUCCCACAGACGAUACCCCUUUACUCCAUCAGCAUACCCCAAGAAGAUACAUUUUCUAGAUUUUGCAUCCAGCUUUGUUCUUUCUUGGGCAUUGUACAUCACGUACACAGGACAUCCAAAUGCAUGUAGGUAGGAAUAAUCAGCUGGCUUUCCAGUCCACAUCUCCAUCGCUGUCUUCAGCCCAAUAGCUGUAGAUGGCGAUCGAUUUACUAUAUAAAAGGCAGUUUUGGCUGCUUCUGCCCAGAAUGAAUUGGGUAGACCAGCAGUCCUCAACAUAACUCUUAUUCUUUUUGUAAGAGUUCUGUUCAUCCGAUCUGCCACUCCAUUUUGUUGAGGAGUGUAUGCCACCGUGAACUGCCUCUGAAUACUUUCUUACUUACAGAAAGCAAGAAACUCGCCGUCUGUAUAUUCUCCACCAUUAUCUGUCCUCAAGCACUUGAUCUUUUUACCAGAUUUAAGUUCCACCUGUGCUUUGUAUUCUUUAAACACUAGAAAUACAUUUGACUUUUUCUUAAUUGGAUACACCCAACAUCUUCUGGAAUAAUCAUCAAUGAAAGUCACCAUGUACUUUGCACCUCCCAUUGAUAUAUCCGGUGAUUCCCAAAUAUCAGAAUGAAUCAAGUCUAAAAUGCAUUUACUUCUAACAACAGAUCUACUGAAUUUUAAUAUAUGCUGCUUACUUGUAACACAAUGCUCGCAAAAUGGUAAACUUACCGAUUUGAGCCCCGGAAGCAAUUUUCGCUCAGAGAGAAUCUUCAAAGCUUGUUCUGACAUGUGGCCAAGUUUGAGAUGCCACAUCAUCGUUGAUUCUUCUCCAUUUGACGCGAUACACGCAUCAGCCUCCUGUAGUGUUUCUCCUUUAAGCAUGAAUAAAUUAGCACCGAUCUUUUCUGCCUUCAUCAAUACAAGCGCGCCUUUAACAAUCUUCAUAAUUCUAUUCUUCACAUGAGUUUUGCACCCAUGACUGUCUAUUUGUCCCAAAGACAAUAGAUUUUUCUUCAGGCCGUUGACAUGUCGUACCUCUCCAAUUGUGCGAAUUGUAAUAUCAAAUAUUUUUAUUUUGAUAGUACCAAUACCAGAGAUCUCCAAGGCAUGAUCAUCUCCCAUAUAUACAGAUCCUCUUGAGAUAGGUUCAUAUGUGUGGAACCAUUCUCUCCGAGAGGUCAUGUGCCAGGUAACUCCUGAGUCUAUAAGCCAGACAUCAGAUAGUCAUUUUCUGCCUUCUGAAAUAGUUAUUGCCUCGCUGUAGAGAAUUUCGCCAUCAUCCGAGGUACUUGCUACACACCCUUGAGCAUUUGAUGACUCAAGUUCUUUGCCCUCUUUUCUCUUCUGGUUACUCUAACACUCUUUCUUGACGUGUCAUUUCUUGCCACAGUUGUAGCAUUUAACAUUCUUCUUAUUUCUGGAUUUUGAUCUACCAUGAUUUUGACUCCCACUGGGGUCACGUUCCGUUGAUCUCCCUCUCGUCACCGAUAGUGCCUCCACUUGCUGCUAACUUGCUUGUUUGUUUCCUUAUUUUUCUGCUUGCUCUCCUCAUUUAAUACGGAGGCUGCAACAUCGUCGAAAACUAGACUAUCCGCUGGAUUAUUGUUCGUCAGGUUGAUGAUGAGUUGAUCAUACGAAUCUGGUAGACUUUGAAGUAGAAGCUCUGCACGUUCAUUUUCUUCUAUAUUAUGACCCAACGUUGUGAGUUGUGAAAAUAGAGCCUUCAAGGUGUUAAUGUGGUUACUCACCAUUGUAGAUUUCGUCAUUCGAAGAGUAUAGAGUUUCUUCUUCAAGAAGAUUUUGUUGUGUAGUGACUUGGCCUCGUACAAUUUUGUGAAAGUGUCCCAUAUUUCUUUCGCUGUAUUUUUCUCUGCCACACUGGAUAAUACUCUGUCUGCAAGUGCCAAGUGUAGAUCAGAAAUGGCGUUGCCAUCUACCUCGUUCCACUUGUCAUCAGUUAUCUCUAUGGGCGUUUCUCCAAUUGCUGCCAAGCAAUUAUUUUUCCUUAAUACAGCUUUCAUCUUCAUUUUCCACAACGAAAAAUUAUUUCCGUUAAAUUUCUCAAUUUCAUACUUUGUCGCCAUUUUGUUGAUAAAUACCGCACACAAGCUAGUGUACCACCUUGAAUAAUUGUGAGUAUGUGUGCGAAUGUACACCAGGAAAGACUGGAGGGGUCACAAUGGUCCCACUUAAACCCAGACUCCUUAAGCUCUUAUCGCCUUUGUGACAGAACUUUCCUAGACAUGUACAAAACCACACAAGUGCUUUACUCACACCACUAUUCCCUACUUUGCACCGCAAAAUUCUUGGAUUGCUCCCAUCGUUUCUUGUGAAUAGUUUCGUAUACGUGAACAGUACCGUAUACGUGAAUAGUACCAUAUACGUGAACAGUACCGUAUACGUAAAUAGUACCCCUUACGUGAACAGUACUCGACUCAAAAAAUACAACCAAUAGCUAUGAUACCACUAUUAGGAAAUUGGUGGGUGAAGCAGGACCGCAGUUAAAAUAAAAUUGGAAGAAAAAUAAAGAACAAGCACAAAAGAGAAUACCAGAAAUUGCGUGGUUCGGUUUUUAACCUACGUCUACGGGCGAAGACAGAAGGAAAUAUUUUACUAGUAAAAAAGAGUUACAAGUAUUGUAGUAUUUUAUCUCACUUCCCAAAACCCCAAUACACCCAAACUCUCAAAUUACUAUAACAAGAGCUUAUAAUUUCAAGCUCUCUAAACUCUCUCUCAAAAAUGCUAAAUUUCUCUCUCUUAAUGGAAUACUACAGCUCUUCAUUUGCACUUCUAUUUAUAGCAAAAUGAUGGCCAAGAAAGUCAAAACCGUGUUCCUCUUUUUCAAAACCGUGUUCCUCCUUUUCUUCUUCAAACUGCUUCUUUCCAUUUUCCUUUUCAAGCAUUUCUGCCGGCCCAUUUUUUUCUUCUUUCUUUCUUCUUUUUCUUCUUUCUCUUUUGUUUCUUUCUUUGGGCGGCACCUCCCAACCAAGACAACCAAGACUUUAACACAGAUUUAACUAGUGGAGAAGUUGGGAACUUUUUUUUUUUUUUUCUAACACAUGCUAAAAAUAUUUCAAUAAAUUAUGAUCAUGCAGACUAAUAAGAUUUUUUUAGUUAUAUAUAUUAAUUUUUUAGGGACUAAUAUGAAUAUUACUAAUUUUUUUGAGAUUAUUAAAAAACAAUGUUUUGACUUACCAAUAUGAUUUUUCCAAUCUUUUUUCUUUUCGUUAUUUAUUCCUUUGUGAAUUAGAGUUAAUGCUUGAUAUUAUUUUUGUGCUCAUUUUUAAAAUUAGUAAUUAAAUUUGAAUCUUAUAGUAGAAGUUUAUGAAAAAGUAAAAAUUCAAAAAUCAUAAAGUCAUUACUAGAUCCAAAUUUGUGCUAUUUUCAUACAUAACUUGACAAUAUUUAUAAUGAUGCAUCACAACUAGUGGAGUAGAAUCGGGGAAAUUAAACAUUCUACAAUCAUUGACGUGUGGGGUGGGGAUAAGCAUAAACUUUUUCUAUGCUGCAUAAAAGAAUGCAAUAACUCCUUUUCUUUCAGUAUUUUCGCAACAAAAGCACAUCUAAUAACUCUUUAGAAUUCUCGUUUUCUUUGCCACAAUGGUUGAAGCGAUCGUUUCCUCUCUCCUGGAGCAGCUGAUCUCUGUUGCGGCUGAUGAAGUGAAACAGCAGGUAAGGCUUAUGACUGGUGUCCGAGAAGAAGUGAAAAAGCUUACCACCAAUCUUCAGGCCAUUCGAGCUGUGCUGGAGGAUGCAGAGCAAAGGCAAAUGCAGCAAGACAAAGCUGUUACUUUUUGGCUGGAUCAGCUUAAAGACGCAUCUUACGACAUGGAAGAUGUGCUGGAGGAGUGGACCACUGCAAGGCUCAAAUUGCAACUUGAGGGCGUUGAUGAUGACAAUGCUCUUGCUCUUGCUCCUCACAAGAAGAAGGUACGUUCCUUCUUUCGUGCUGUAUCAAACUGCUUUGGUAGUUUCAAACAACUCAGUCUUCGUCAUAACAUUGCUGUCAAGAUUAGGGAAAUCAAUGAAAGGCUAGAUGAUAUUGCAUCUCAAAAAGAUAGGUUUAAAUUUUUUGAGAAAGUGAGUAACCAUGUUAAGAAACCAGAGCGAGUGCGAACCACCUCCUUGGUUGAUGAGGGAGAGGUUUGCGAUAGAGUUGAUGAGAAAAAUGAGCUCUUAAACAAGUUGUUGUGUGAAAGUAGUGAACAACAAAAAGGCCUCCAUGUCAUCUCACUAGUUGUCUUAGGGGGUAUAGGUAAAACCACUCUUGCACAACUAGCCUAUAAUAAUGAUGAGGUGAAAAGAAAUUUUGAAAAAGUUAUAUGGGUGUGUGUAUCAGACACUUUUGAGGAGAUUAGGGUUGCCAAAGCAAUCAUUGAAGGUUUAGGCGAGUCAGCUUCUAGUUUAAGCGAAUUCCAAUCUCUUAUGAGCCAUAUCCAUAGAUCAAUUGAAGGAAAAACGUUUUUUCUGGUUUUAGAUGAUGUAUGGGAUGGGAAUUACAACAAAUGGGAACCAUUCUUCCUUUGUCUAAAGAAUGGUCACCACAGAAGUAAAAUUUUGGUUACCACACGUAAUGAGUCAGUUGCACGUAUGAUGGGAUUUUCUAGUGGUUCUUUUGAUGAUCGUGAAAAAUUAAAACCAAUCAGGCGAAAAAUUACACACAAGUGCAAAGGUCUGCCUCUUGCUGCAAAGGUAAUAGGGAAUCUCUUGCGCUCUAAAAGUACAAUAAAAGAGUGACAAAGAAUUUUAGAUAGUAAAAUGUGGAAAGUAGAAGAGAUUGGGCAAGGUCUUUUGACUCCUUUGUUGUUGAGUUAUAACUAUUUGCCCUCCAAUUCUAUGGUAAAACGAUGUUUCUCAUAUUGUGUUGUCUUUCCAAAAGACUACAAUAUGGAUAAAGAGGAGUUGAUUAAUCUAUGGAUGGCUCAAGGUUACCUUAAUGCAGAUGAAGACGAAGAAAUGGAGAUGAUUGGAGAAGAGUAUUUCAACAUUUUAGUAGCACGCUCUUUCUUUCAAGAGUUUAAGAAAGAUAAUGAUGAUAAUAUUAUGAGUUGCAAGGUGCAUGACAUAGUACAUGAUUUUGCGCAAUUUGUAAGUAGAAAAGAAUGUUUGUGGCUAGAAAUUAGUGGUACCAAAGAAUUAGUCAUAAACGCUUUUGGCGAUAAAGUCUGUCACUUAGGGUUAAAUUUUGAAGGAGGAGCUUCAUUUCCUAUGUCCAUUCGUGGACUUGAUAGAUUGCAUACCCUCUUAAUUUAUGACAGAAGUCUUCCCAAUCGGGGUCUUAAUAGUAGCAUCCUUCUGGAGUUAUUUAGUAAAUUGGCGUGUUUAAGAGCAUUAGUUAUAAGCCAAUCGAUCUUAACAUUUUUUCAUCCUGACGAAAAUUGGAUUAGAGAAAUUCCAGAAAAUGUUGGAAAAUUGAUACAUUUAAAAUAUCUUAAUUUGUCUUAUCUAGUUAUAGAGAGACUGCCUGAGACUUUGUGUGAAUUAUAUAAUUUACAAAAGCUAGAUAUUAGGUGGUGCCCAAAUCUUACAGAAUUGCCAGCGGGGAUUGGGAAGUUAAAGAACAUGAGGAGUUUACUAAAUGCUGAAACUCCGUUAGACCACUUGCCAAGAGGGAUUUCCAAAUUAACCAGUCUGCGAACAUGAGACAGGUUUGUGGUGGGUGGAGGUGUUGAUGGUAGCAAUACGUGUAGGCUUGAAUCUCUGACAAAUCUUCAACUCCUUCAAGAAUGUGGAAUAGAAGGGCUGAGUAAUGUGUCACAUUUAGAUGAGACUGAGAGAUUAGAACUCCACAAUAAGAAAAACCUCCUUCGUUUGCGUCUUGAGUUUGGUGAAGUCGUAGAUGGGGAAGGCGAAGAAGGGAGGAGGAAGAAUGAGAAAGAUAAACAACUUCUUGAAGUCUUACAACCGCCUUUGAAUGUAGAGGAAUUAGAGAUUGAAUCCUACCGAGGCAACAUUUUUCCCAAAUGGUUGACUUCACUAACCAAUCUAAGGAAUUUAAAUCUUCUCCUUUGCGUUAAAUGUGAGCAUUUGCCUCCUUUGGGAAAAUUGCUUCUGGAAAAACUCGAAAUACGCAACUUGGAAAGUGUAAAAAGAGUGGGUAAUGAGUUUUUGGGAAUAGAAGAAAGCAGUGAGGACGACCCAUCUUCAUCUUCAUCUUCAUCAUCAACAUCAGUUAUUGCCUUCCCCAAAUUGAAAUCACUCGAAAUUUGGGACAUGGAAGAAUUGGAAGAGUGGAAUUAUAGGAUUACGAGGAAGGAAAACAUCUCCAUCAUGCCACGUCUUUCUUCCUUGACGAUUUGGUAUUGCACCAAAUUAAAGGCGCUGCCGGAUUACCUUUUUCAAACGACGGCACUGCAGAAAUUGAGUAUUUUUUCUUGUGAUCUUCUAGAAGAACUGCCAAUUCUAGAAGAUCGCAGGACAACAGACAUACCACGUCUUUCUUCCUUGCGAAUUGGGUAUUGCCCCAAAUUAAAGAGAGGGGAAAGGAGAAAACUGGCAUAAGAUAUCUCACAUUCCCCACAUCAUGCUGUCGGCGUAAGAUAUCACUCGCCGGUAAUAAAAAUAAUUAUAUUUUGAAUUAAAAUUCUAUAUAUUGCCAAUGUCUGACAGGAAUAUAUAAUAUUUUUCUAAUAUUUUGAUUUGCAUAUUGAAUUUUGUUUACUUCAACCAUUAAUUUAAUGGGUCACUCUGAUGUUGUUAUAAAAAUUAUAAAAUCAAUCAUGGUAUAUAUAUAUAUACUGUUAGAGUUAAUCAAUAAUUCAUAAAGUCAAAAGUUAAUUAAGAUAAUAUUUUAAUUUCAGUUAUUUAAAAUUUAAACUUCCUAGCUAUCAAAUCUGUUAAACUUAUUUUAUCAAGGUUAAAUAAAAUAUAUAUAUAUAUAUAUAUAUAUAUAUAGUCUAUUGAAAUUUCUAUAUUUUCUUCUAAAAAAUAUGUAGUCUUUUAUAAAAUUUCAUACAACAUCAUAGAAAAUUCCAAUGUAAUUUAUUUUUUAAUGUACGAAUAUUUGUUAUGUGUAACUUCUUGAGAGACAAAAUCUUUGCGAUACAUUUGCAGUAAUGUUGAUAAUCGUAUUUUUUUAUAUAUAAUUUAUGUGACAUUAAUUCUUUAAAGUAAUUGUGUGAUUGUUUUUAGUAGUACAUUAGCCCACUUUGUUUUAUUUCAUACGAGUUUAAUUAUGUUCACCAGGGAUUCUAGGAAAUGUCAGAACUACACUAGCAAUUCGCAGGUCCACGCUAAUUUGGUUCUAAUGAUGCACGCAGGAGAGCAAGAUUAUGAAAAUGAAUAGUUUAGCCAAAGGAUUGCUAAAAUGUUUUGCUGGUAAUUCACUUGCUUUUUUUUAUAGAAUUUCAUUUCCAUCUUCUUCUAUUGAUAUCUUGUUGUGAAUAAACAAGAACAGAAAAGUAACUAUAUAUAUAAAAAUUCCCUAUUAUGAUGAUGUUAAAGCAAGCUCAAGCUCAAACAUUGCAUUUUUAUUUUAUUUAAUUUAUAGAAUUUUCAUUUCUACCUGGAUUGCAUUUUUAUUUCAUUUUCAGGUUGACUUUGAAAACUCUAUGGAGCACAUUGGGGUAACCAAGGAUUAUCACUGUGGUUAUUGUGCAACGUUUGGUUGCUGGACUUUGAAGAAGGAAGUGAUGGCCGGGUCCGCUCUGUUUCAAUUGAGGAUGGAUAGCUGCCUGAAAGACAUGAUGAUUAUUAUUGCAUGAUGUUAAGGUGCUAAGAUCAUCAUUUCUAUCUUGUUUCAUUCUUUGAUCAGUUUAUCCUAUAUAAACAUAUGGAAUUAUGCAAAUAUUAUCAAUUUUUUCACCUAAUUUUCACUGUUGUUGCGAAAACAAUUUCAGGCUCUCAAAAGCUACAAAGCAAAGCAUUUGUGGGCUGAUCAUAUGUUUCAAUUGAGGAAGGAGCUUGGUGUUGGCAAUAUUGUCCAGGUAACCACAGCUGAUAAUUUCCACAAAUUUGCAUUGUCAGAAUACACUUUAAUGUUCAUUGGGUUCCUAUGUGUUAUCAGGUUAUCGUGGUAUGUAAAGUAUCAUCUUUAAGGAUUCGUAAGAGACUUCGCAGUAAACUUAGUUGUCACUAUCUCCUGCAAUUGCUCAUUCAUUCAAGAGUACUUCAAAAUUAGAUUUUCAAGGUUUGUAUGUUUAGUUGCGAUCAAAAUGUUUAGUCACUCAUUCGUAAUCUUUUCUGAUUUUCAAGUUCUUUAGGGCCAUAAACAGUUUUCCAACUCAUUCUUAAUUUUUAGGUUGAUUUCGAGUACCCUGUUGAGGACAUUCCUGACACCAAGGAUUAGGCUGGCGAAGGAACUACUACCUCUGUUGUCAUUGUGCAAGGUUUGAUCAUUCGACCUUGAAUAAGAAUGCCUUACACGCAUUCUGUAAUUCAAGCAUUCUCUAAAGGAAAAGAGCAGUAGAAGGGAUAGUGAUGGCCGGAUCUGCUCUAUUUUAGUUGAAGAUCUCUGUGAUGUCGAUGAACUUAAAGCAGUUGAUACUUCUUCAAAAUUGUUAUUACGGAUGAAUUGAUUCCUGGAGACGGGUAUCCAAAGGCGUAUUUUCAUAAACUUCCUUCUUUAACAAAUGUUCCAACGCUUGCUGUAGUAACAAUUUCAUAGCUUGCAUCUCUCGGGUGCGUCAUGUUCACGGGUUGGAAAAAGCAUUUGUCGUAAAGCUUCAAAGCUUGUAAAAUGGCUGUGAAAAGGCACAUUCAAUUCGGUAUGCUUUGGUGCGGUCUCCUAAUGCUAAUAUUAUAUUUUGUAUAGCAAUCUUAGUAUGCAAAAAAUCAUUGUGUCCAAAGUUUUCUAUUAAUUAUAUGGUGACUGAAAUUUUAAUUAUCAUAUAAAUCUUAAAAAUUUUUGUAACCCUAUUUUACUUUGCUUGUACAGAAUACCUGUUUUCGCUGAUAUGUCGAAUUCCUAGAAAUUCAUUUCCAUCGGUUUCCAUUGGUUUUAGCACAAACAGAAACAUAGAGCCCUGGGAAAAAGUUUUACUUUUGGUGGUAUUAUGCCUUAUUUUCUUCAUUCAUCAUAUUUGUUUCGAAUUCAUGCUCUCAUUCAGAGAGUAAAGCCUUUUCCAGGCUGCUUUGUAGCCAAAUUUUGAUGCCAUCGAUGCGUGAUUGUCAUUUAGAUCUUCGAAAUAAUUGUUAGAUUGGAGACGAAUCAGAAGAUAUUGUUCAAAGGGUAUUUAAUUAGCACCCUCUGAAUUUAGUUGGCAAUAAUGCAUUGAAAUGGUUGGGGAAAGUUAUUGUCUUAAUUAAAUUACAGGUGAUAAGAUGCUGCUUCAAUUUUGCAAGCAUCUUAUACUGCGAAGAUUCUGCCCACAUGAGAUGCUGUGAUUCUUGACGUCAGGAUAACACAGGUCAAAUUUUAGUAUCAAUAUAUAUCAUCUUCUUUACUGUUCUGCCUCUAAAUAUUAAACUUUAAGCAAGUUGUCUGUGAAUGUUUUCCUUCAAUAUUAAUACACUGGCAUUUCUUAGUAAAUUCUCUUCACGUCACUUCCUCCUUGUUGGUGGGAUUAGUAAACAAAUGUCAUUUCUUAGUACAUUUUGAGAAUUUUGACUCCCAAAUAAGCCUGCAGAGCGGUGUAUGGUGGGAUUAGCUGCGGGAUUCUUUGCCAAACUUCCUUUUUAUUCCUUUGUUCACUUAUUCGUUAUAAAUAAAGUAAAAUUAGAAUAUUGUUCCGUUUACUGUCUAAGCUGGUCUAACAUUUGUUUAAUUUGGGCAAUUUUUAAUGCCUAACAGGUUAUCUGUGACAAACCCAUCGGUGAGUGUAUGCAACUAUUGCGUGGAUUUGAUAGAGUGGUCACCAACAAUUUUGAAGUUAUUGGAGUAGCACGGCUUUGAGGUCUCCCCCUCCCUCUUUUACGUAUUUGUCUAUUGAUCGACAUGUCUAUAUAUACAUUGAUAGACCAACUUACUCUUGUUUUAAUGUUUUGUUUGUUAAACUUUGACUGGGGAAAGUUUAUUUGUCUCAUAUGAUGUCAAUGUGGUUCCUAUUGAAGUGUAUAGAUCUGUCACCUCAAAGUCUGAUUUCAAUUAAUUUUCCUUUACUUCAUCAACUAGCAUCCUUUCCAAGUCCAGAUACUUACCAAUAGUGAGACUUUGCUACGGAAGUACAAUUUCUCUUGUUUUACAGUUAAUUAUGUAAGAAAAGUUUUAAAUUUACAGAAUUCUGAUAUAGCUCUCUUAAGGAAAUGCGAGUGGUGAAUAUGGUUCCAACUUUUAAUAGGCUUAAUAGGCCCAUUUGUUGAGCCACAGUGAUUGCGGUCUAAAUUCUUCUUUACUGUCUAUAUGUGUUGGAGUUUGUCUAUUGUCCAACUUCUCAAAUCGAUUCCAUGCAGGGUUUUGAAUGUCUAAUUAGGAGAAAGAUUAACGGAUGACCUUUUGAAGAAGGCUUACACAACAGGCCAUCUCAGGAUGUCAUGGCUCAGCUCAAAAGUCCCCAGGUGGUUGAUAUCAAAGAAUGCCAUUGUUUCUGGGCUUGGUCUCCUUGGCAUCAAACAAGAUAAUGUUGACUCUAUUAAAGGGGAAAUAAGGGCAACUAAAGCGCGAAGAAAGAGGAUAGUCCGGAGGAAGGUGACUGCAUAAAUUUGUUGGAGUUAAUGUAGUCAAUUGCCCAAUUUUGCUGCCUGUCGAAGAGACACAUCAUGGAAGUCCUCAUCAAACUCUGAGACACCUAAGAAAUAGUAGGAGGUGGUGGUACUCGCCUGGGGUUAAUUUCCUGGCAAGUAUAGUUCACUGAUAGAGGGAAUCUUCUCUUGAUGUGUAAAUACCGUAUGUGAUACAAUGUCGUGUAUAUUCUAAUUUUCCUUGAGUUAAAUUCUAGUCAGUUAGGAAAGUUAAUUUUGUUUUCGCUAUGGAUUGUUUCCUAGAUAAAAAUAGUUUCCAUGUUCCUUUGGGGUCUUAUUAACUCUCUGUAACCCAGUUCAAGUUUGCAAAUUCUAUUUCAGAUUUCUCAUAUAGUGUGCCUUUGUCACUUCUGUGAUACACUUUUGAUCACAAGUUUCCAUUUGAAGUAGCCAAUAUUCUUUAUAGACUAAUUAUCUAAGGAUUAUUUUAUCCAAAAAAUCAAAACUUUAAUUAAUUGAUCAUAACUUAACUUAGCUCUUGUUUGAUAUUACUAGCUGUUGUGAGAAAAAAAAAAUAACAGAAAGUUGACAAUGUGCAGUAAAUGUAUGACUUUUAAAUAAUAAUUUAAUAAAAUUAAUAAAGAUAUUAUAAGUUUUUUAAUAAUAAAGUAUGAGAUCAAAUCAAAUUAAAUUUUAAGUCAAAAUAGCAAAUAUUUACUUAAAUUGUUUAAUUAUGUAGCUUAAAAGGUAUAGUUGUCCAACCUCAACACAAUAUCGAGAUUUACCGAACUCUACCCGACUUUAGUUGUACUGACUCGAUCAUGCAAGUCCACACUCGACGCGUUGACCAUACAAGAUGUUACUCAACUUUAACAAAUCUUACUCAAACUUUGCACGUUCGACAUGCCGGAUGGAAAAUGACAGUAUAUGAUAGUAAUAGAAUAUUAUAAGAAUAGUUAUAACAUGAUUAUACUUAGUACUAGUUUAUAUUUUAUGUGAUGUAUGUAGUAUAUGAAUGGAUUAUAUUACAAAUUUUAUUGUUAUAAUAAUUAAAAUUUUGAAUUAUUUUAUUAUUGAAAAAAUGUAAUAUGUUAAAUAAUAAUAACAGUUAUUUUUAUUAAGUAUUUUUUUAUGUAAUGAAUUAUACUUUUAAAAUAAAAUAAAAAAUUCUUAUUACUGAACUGAUAAAAAAUUAAUUAUUUGAGUUAUCUCCUAAACUACUUAACUCACGACAUAAAGUCACUUAGUUUAAAACGAAGCGGUGAGUUUUACGUGGGAGCCACGUCCUUUCCACAUCAACCUCAACAUCCAAACAUGAAAUUGGACUAAAAAUAGUUCUUUCCAAUGUAUUUGCGUAACCUCCUCCCACUAAACGCAAAUAUGUAUUCUUGAGUGCAUAAUUACUAACAUAAUUUUCUCCCUUUGCCAUAUUGUCGACGUUGAGUGCAUGUAAUCUACAAGUUUGAUUGAGCAGAAGAUGACGUUGUCACAAAGGCCUGGACACCAUACCUCGAACCCAUCCCUUUUUUUGUUCGAAAGAAAAGAAUGAUAUGUUGGUAUGAAAUUAUGUUAAAAUGAAUAUAUCACCUUUUUUUUCUUUUUUUGCGUGAGUGAUGGCUUUGUUUACUGACAGUUGACAGACAACGAGUUAUCUUUUAAUUUUGAUUUUGAUUUAGAUUUAAUACAAAAUAUUAAUUUUUGUAGUUUCGGUAGAUGAAAUUUCGAAUCAAAUAUUAAUAUUGUUAAAGUACGCAACCCAAUAUUUGCUUAAAUUACAAAAAAGAUUAAUUGCUUUGCAUAAAAAAAAAAAGUGAUCACUUGAUUUAACUUCCUUUACUAAAUUUACGAUUUAAAAUUCAAAAUAAAAAAAAAGGAAAACAAAUUUUGGAGACACACUCGGAGUUUUAAAUUGAUAUGAAAAAAGAGUUUAUUAUUGAUUAUCUUUUUCCCAAAAUUUAAGCUAAGACAGCAAUAUGUCCAAAAUACACUCCACAUUAUCCUAAAACUUUAUGAACUCCCCCGUUCCUCUCAACAUCAUCUCUUCCAAAUCUUUCUCCCCCCAAAAAACCAGCCAUGGCUUCAUAUUUAGUUAUCUCAACACUCCAUUAUUGGCUUGUAAACAGUAGCGGCUCGACCUCUAGGCAACUUAGGCGGUUGCAUAGGACUCCACUUUAUAUGAAAGCCCUACGAGAUGAUUAUUUUGUAUAUAAAAGAGGAAAAUGAAUUUAAAAGUCAUUAUUAUUAAUUUAAUUUAUUAUUAUUUUGUAAUUAUCUUUUUUAAAAUAAACUAUCAAAUUCCUAUAAAGUUUAUUUAAUAUAGUACUUAAUUGUUUAAUUUCUACAAAACCAAUAAAUUAAUAGUUUCAAUCUUAAAAAUUCUCUAUUUCAUUGUUAGAAUUAAUAAGUUAUAUUUCAAAAGUUUUAUAUUUAUUUUAAACCUCUAUAAAAGCCCCACAUUUUAUUACUUAUCCAUUAAAUUUUUCCUCCAACAAUCAAGACAUCUUGGUGUUUGAGUGAAAGAGAGAGGGAAAAAAAUCUUGCUUCGUGCCUGUUUGGUAUGACAUAUUUAAGAGCCAUAAGUGCUUAUUUAAUUAUAUAAGCACUUUUUAAAAUUUUUUAUGGUGUUUGGUUAUUUUUUUAGUAGAGUUUUUUUAACUUAAAUAAGCUAAUUUACCUCUACUAGCAAAAGCUCAAAAUUUGAGCUUUUGGAAGUAGAGGUUAUAGAGCUUUUCUAAAAAUAUAUAAUAUAAAAAAUAUUACACAGUUUAAUGAUUCAAAAGUACUUUUUUUAUUGACAACCAAACACCGAAUGACUUUUUGUCCAAAAGCUCUAUUGGUAUAAGCUCUACUGCUAUAAGCUCUAUUGUUAUAAGCUCUAUUUAAUAAGAUGUACCAAACAGAGCCUUCCUCUACUUUCUACUCUAGAAGAAAAAGAAAAAAAUCUAAUAGUUUUCUCUAUUUUCUAUGACUAUUGGUCGUUACUCAAAUUUUAAAACAAUAGCCUUAAUAUAAACAUAAGUUAAUUUAUGAUUUCAUCUCAAAUUUCUGAUUUUAUAUUUUUAUUAUUCUCUUAAUUAGUUGUGUUGUUAUUUGUUCUUAUUUCUUUUUAAUAUAUUCUUUUAUUCAUCUACUUUUUUUUGUGAUUGUUUUAUCUAUUUUGAAAUAAAACUAUAUCAAAAAACUUUAGACAAUAGAAGAAUAGAAAAAUUAGUUUAAUUUAGAAAAAAAAGUAAAAAAGAUAUAAUUUAACUUAAAAAAAUAAGUGGAAAUGUUAUAAUUGAAUUAAAAUUUUAUGAAUUAACAACAAUAAAAUAAAUUUUUAUUUAAUAAUUUUACAUUUUAAAGUCUUUAAAGAAUUAAUUUUAAUAAAUAAUAUAUAUAUAUAUAUAUAUAUAAGUUACUUAUCUCUCCAUCCUCACUUACCUCUCCCUCACAUUCAUCCUCUACCACACAUCAACACCAACAUCAACAUCAACACCAACAUCAGCAUCACUACCAUCAUCACCUCUCAUUGGACCCCACAUCCUCAAGCCCAUCACAGCCGUCCAUAACCUCACCCUCCUCCUCCUCUCCCUCAUCAUGGCCGUUGGUUGCCCUCUCUCCAUCAUCCUCCACUUACCCCACCUCCGUUACACCCUCCGUUUCCUCCUUACCAUUUCUCCGUCUGGCAUGGCCUAAUUCCGACGGAAUCAACGACGGUCGUGAUGGGUUUUGGCUGCGAUUAUUCGCGCUUCAAACGGCGGCGUUUCGAUUGGUUUUUGGCGACAGUGACGGUGGGAAAGUGAUGGCUGGCUCAGGAGCUUUCGUUGCUACCAUCCAUGGACGGUGAGGUGGCGGAAAAUCGGAGAUAUGUCUGGGUCGGGUUUUCCGGGUCAGUUUGACAGCUUCCUCUAUCCCUCUCCCCCAUAAAACAUUACCCAGCUUCCUCUUAUUAUUAUUAUUAUUUUUCACAUACGUUACAGAACAUUAAUGAGAGAUGUUUAGUAAGGACUAUAUUGAUAUUUCGAUGAGUAGUAAAAAUUAAUGUUAAAAUUUUAUAGACGAGUGUAUAGUAAGAUGCUCAAAGUAUUAGAACAUACAUAAAUAAUCCCAGCUCUAAUAAAUUUUAUCCCUUCAGCAAAACAUAUCGAUAAAGUAUACAAAAGCACAAGGCAUGAGUACAUGUCAAUAACAAAUGAAAGUAAUUAAGAUAAAGAAUAUGCUUUAUUUCCUUUUAUUUUCGUUUUUUUUUUUGGUGUCUUUUGAAAGGAGACCAACUAGAUCAUGCAAGAAGUUAAUUUUUUUUUUAAAUAAAAAAGGGAGAAAUGAUGGUCUUACAAAGUUCCAAUAUAAAGUUUAUAAUAUAAAAUUAAUGAUGUGACAAUUAAACUAAUGGAGUAAGAAGUCCCAAAUAGAUUAUAUUUUGCUAAAGAAGUCAAUUCUACCAAGAAUACCUCUUUCUAUUGAAUUUAAAUGAUGAUUAUUUUUUUAUAUCAUAAAAGCUAAAAUAAUUGUGUGAGUAAUUUGAUUCUUUUACACUAUAAAAAUAAAUUCAGAAAAUGUUAGGGCAUGUUCUGUAUUUUAUUUUUAAAUUCAUAUUAUGAGAAUGAAAAUGGUGUUUUCAAGUUUAUAAAAUUUCAAUUGAAAUAUGUGUUUGUUAUUAUUUUAUUUAUCAUAUAUUUUCAAAAUGAUAAAAUAAUGGAUGUAUUAAGCAAUUUUACUACAUGCAAAUUAUUAUCUGUGUUUAAAGUUCAUAUAAAGCUUGUUUAUUUUUCAACAUACCAACUUCCAAUAAUAAUAAUAAAAUUUUUGUGAUAUCCAAUAUUAACUUUUUAAAUUAAUUAUUUUUUGUUAAUGUGUCCGCUGUUCAAUCGAUCUUCCUACUUUCUAUGCUUGAGAUUAGAUCAUUUGCUUCAAAGAUUCGAACUGGACUUAUAGUAGGAAAAAGAAUUUUCUUCAAUAUGAACUCUAAUUCUCUUUUUUUAUAUAUAUAUAUAUAUAAAAUCUAAUUCUCCUUUCAACAUUUUAACAUUUUGAUGAAAUAAAAAAUUAUUGGCGAAAGAUUACAUGCUUCCUUACAUUAGAGAACCAAACACUCAGAUAGGUAGUGUAAAUCUCUACUGAUCGUUGGUGAUUUUAUCAAAAUAAAAUUCAAUAAAAUGUAUAAGCACACUUAAAUCCGUCCAAAAAAACAUAAAUGACCCAGCAAAUAAAGAAAAGUACUGUGAAGUAAAAAUUGAAAAGUACAAUCCGUCGAUCAUUUGAUACGUAUUUUUCUUCACAGAACCUCAAUUCAAUAGACAAAAGCUCCUCUUAAUUUUUCUUUUCUAUUUAAAUAAAAGAACAAACGAAAUUGAUUACGGAGCCAUUAAUUUCCAAGAAUUAAUAAAUGAAAAGGCCCAUAAUUUUUGUUAACCCACCCCACUCUCAAGAAAUAAUUACAAUAAGUUCAAAUUAUUUUUUAAAAAUUGAAAUAAAGAAGAUGUAAUUACAAUAAGUUUGGAGAUUGAAUCAAAUAAAAUAAAAUACCUAAACUAUUAUAAACAAGAACUCUUGAUUCUUGGGGUAUUUUAGUCAUUUUAUAUUAUCAUGGUAAAUUAGUCAAAUAAAACUUAUCUUAAAGCAACCUAAAUGGUCAAAGACACCUAAGUUAAAAAAAAAAUUAUAUGAAUGAUUUAAUUUAUUGAUUGUCUAUACGUUUUAUUGAUAUAUAUAUUUUAAAAAUAGUAUGAACGUAUUACAAUUAUUUUCUGACAGCAAAGUAGAUUUGUAAAAUAAGUGGGUAGAAAAUAUCCCCGUCCUCAAACAAAUAAAUGAAUUAUCGGUGAUGCAUGCUUUUUUCCAACUUUUGUUUUUUUUUUCUUUUGGUUUUUUGUUUUUGUUUUAAAUGGCAUUGGCCCGACCACUACAAAUUAAUUAGAGAAUAUUUACAAUUAUGUAUCACAGCUGUGGAGUAGAAUCAGGGAAAUUAAAAAUGCCAAAAUUAUUGACGCGUGGGUUAGGCGACAAUAACCAUAAACAUUUUUCAUGUAGUGUAAGAAGAAUGCAACAACUCGUUUCUUUCGGUAUUUUUGCAACAAAAGUACGUUGAACAACUUCCCGGAGCAGCUGAACUCCUUUGCUGCUUGUGACUUACCAUAAAUCUUCAAGCCAUUCAAGCUGUGCUUGAAGAUGCAGAGAAGGCAAGUUGAUAUAAGAUGGUUGCAUGGAAUAAGCAGGGUAUCUUCCGAGGCUAGAAAUUGGGCUACGAGUAUUCGUUUUGGACAUAUAAUAUAGUUUCCAAGCUUGCGAUGAGUCGAACCAAAUGCAGAACAACCUAGGCUGUUAUGCCCUGCGAUUGAGCUAAAAAUUUCACUUCUUUUAUAGUCGUUUUUCAGUUUUAAGAUAUUUUUUUAUUUUUCUUGAUUCUUCUAGAAUUUUUAUCAUUUUUUCUAGAUGUUGGAUUUAAGUGCCAUCUAUUUUCUUUCUCUUAUUUAGAUUCGAAGAAUUUUAUUAUCAUAUAAUAUUUUGAAUUUGCUUAGUUUGUUAAAUUUGCUAUAUUUAGGCUCCUAUAAAUGGGAUUCAAAACCCUAAUUUUGUUCAUUCAAAUUAUUCUCAAUAAAACUUAUUAUUCAAAUACUAGUUUAUAUUAUCUAAUAGCUUUUUAGUGUUUCUGCAUCAUCAGCUGGUAUCAGAGCAAGUUCACUUGUCAUCAUGGUGCGACCACACAAUCAAAGGAGCAACCAUCCUGGAGACGAUGUUCAAAUAUUAGGUUAUCUCUUGUAAGCCAUAUUCAUAAAUGUAUUGAGGGAAAGAUACUUUUUUCUUGUCUUAAAUGAUGUGUGGGAUGGACGUUAUAAUUAAUGGGAACCAUUCUUCUGUUGUUUAAAGAAUGGUCUCUACGAUAGUCAAAUUUUGAUUACUGCACGUAAUCAGUUAGUAGCAAGCAUGAUGAGAUCAACAAAUCUUACCUUUCUUAAGGAAUUAAUUGAAGAAGAAUGUUGGUAAUUGUUUAAGCAGGUAGCAUUUUUUGGUCAAUUCUUCAAGGAUCAUGAUCAAUCGAUCAAAAAGUUGCAUGCAAGUGCAAAGGUUUGCCUUUUGUUGCAAAGAUAAUAGGGAAAUUCUUACACUAUAAAUGACCAAUAGAAGAAUAGAAAAGAAUUUUAGAUAGUGGAAUGUGGAAGGUAGAAGAGUUUGGGAAAGGUCUUUUGACUCCUUUGUUGUUAAGUUAUAAUGAUUUAUCGUCCAUAGUAAAACAAUAUUUCUCACAUUGGGCUAUCUUUUCAAAAGGUUACAAUAUGUGUAAAGAGGAACUAAUUACACUAUGGAUGGCUCAAAGUUACUUUAAAUGUAGAAGAAGGCAUUGUCUAAAGCAUGGUCUCCAUGAAAGUAAAAAUUUGGUUUCCACACGUAAUGAGUCAGUUGCAUGUAUGAUGGGAUCAAAAAAUAUUAUCUUCAUUGAGCAAUUGACUGAAGAGGAAUGUUGGUUGUUGUUCAAGCAGUUAGCAUUUUCCGGUCGCUCUUUGGAGGAUGGUGAAAAAUUAGAACCAAUCGGACGAAAAAUUGCACGCAAGUGCAAAGGCCUGCCUCUUGCUGCAAGGUAACAGGGAAUUUAUAGGGGAUGAUAAAUGCAUAUAUAGUGGCCAAGUCGCUCAUUACAUUUCAUCUCUCAUACGAAUAUGAUUUUGAAUUUGAAUUUCCAUGAAUAAUUGUCGGGCUGGUGCAGAUAUUCUUAAAAGGGCAUUAAGCUACCUCAUGAAAUUGGAAAGUUAUCAUUGCUUGAAUGAAAGCACCAUCUUCUGUUGUCAAGGCUUUCCCCACACGAUGAGAUUCUGUGCUUGUUAUCGGCCCCUUAAUUAUUUAUUAAAUCAGGUUUUUAUUAUCAAGUACAUCAUCUUAUUCACCAUUUUGGCUAUAUAUAAAGAUUAAAAUUUCUAACAGUUGUUUUGGAUUCUUGUGUAAUCAGAUAAUUGGGGCAAAUGUCAGAAUGAGGAUUGUUCAGUGCUACUGGUACGGCAAUGAUGGUGAUGGUGAGGAAGAUUGUUCGCAAGCCAAAUUGAGCCCUCCAUUUUGUGAAAUAACAUCCUCAAAUUUGAAUUGUUGAGCACAUGAAGUGAUGCUAAAGCCUUAAUAAUAGGACCUUCCAAUGAAAGUUUCAUUUGAGUGAAUUAUGGGAGAAUGAAACUUCUUGGAGUGAGUGAGAAAUUAAGCAUAUAUCAGCGAUUAGUGAAUGUUUUUCUUUAACAUUAGUACACUCUUAUUUCUUAGUAAAAUUCUCUUCACGUCGUUGACUGUGACGUAGACCAAAAGCUGAACAAUGUAAAAUUAUAUUGUUAUUUCCUUAUGCUUGUUUUGCUAUAUAUCAUUUCUGUGCAAUCAAGAAUGUAAUUUUGUAAUUAUUCAACUCUGCUUCCGCAAACAUGCGGUAUCUUGCAGAUUUUUUUCUCCCUUUUUCUUUCUGCGUUAAAACUGCAACAAAUGGAAGUGACUGGCUUGAUCUUAGCUCCUGUAAAAAAGUGCUUGGGACAAUGUCUUUUGUAUCAGCAAGUUAUCGAACAUCAUAAUUUAAAUAUAGAAUCCUGAGUUGCUAUCGAAAAUUCCAGGUGUUUCACUUCUCAGUUUCUUAAAAGCUACAAAUCUUGAUAUAUAUUGACAAAGCAAACCGUCCGUGGGCUGAAAUGCUUCCACGGAUCAGGAAGGAAUUUGGUGUUGACACUGUAUGUUAUGCGGAUAACUACAGUUGAUGAUUUUUACCCAAAAUUUGUCACAGUUGACAAUUCACUUACAGUGUUUCCUUGUGUUAUCAGGCUCUCAUCUGUGAAUUGAAAGAUUAAGAAAGAUUGAUUCUAACUGACUUAUGCAAUUGAAGAUUAUGAAAAAGCAUUUGCACUAAAGUUCCCAGCUUGUUUAAUUUCUGUGAAGAGGCACAUUCAUUCUGAGUACUUGAGUUUUAGAUUUCCAAGAUGUGUAAUUUUAGUUGCCAUUGAAAUAUUUAGUCGCUCAUUCUUAAAAAUCUGUUCUAAUUUUCCUGUUAUUUUGGGCCAUAAACAGCUUAACAAGUCUGCAUGUGGUUUCUAAAGAUUGAUGGUUAUGAUAAAUUGGAAGAUGCUCUAAAUAUAACAAAAGUAUAUUUCUACUUGUGGUCAAUUUACAUUUGUUUCUUGUGUCAUUAUGCAGAUUAAUUUAUUCGAAUUUAUCCUAUCUCAUUCAUUUAUUUUAGACAAAGUUUGAAAAAAAAAAAUUAUAAGUAUACAAUUUCCAAUGGAUUUGAUAGAGCGGUCAUCAACCAUAUUGAUGUUAUUGGAGUAGCACUGUUCUUAAGCACUGCUUUGAGGUCUCUCCCUCUCUAUAUACAUUGAUAGUCUAUUCUGGUCGUACCAAAUUAUCCUUGUUUUAAUGUUUUGUUUGUUAAACUUUGACUGGGGAAUCUGUUUAUUUGUCUGAUAAGAGGUUAGUGUGGUUUCUAUUGAAGUGUGUAGAUCUAUCACCAAGUAUUAUUUCAAUUUUUCUUUACUUAAUCAACUUGCAUCCUUUCCAAGUCCAGAUCCUUAACAAUAGUGAGACUUCGCUACAGAAGUACAAUUUCUCUAGUUUGACAGUUAAAUACGUAAGAAUGGUUUUAAAUUAACUGAACUCUGAGAUAGUUCUCUAAGGAAAUACAAGUAGUGAAUACCGUUCCAACUUUUAACUGCCUUAAUAUAUCCAUUUGUUCAGCCCUGUGCAUAAAAAAUCAGUAAUUGCCGUCCAAAUUCUUCUUUACUGCCUAUAUGUGUUGGACUUUGUCUAUUCUUCAACUUCUCAAAUGGAUUUUUUGAAUGUCCAAUUAGGAGAAAGAUCAAGGCUUGCUUGGCUACGAGUGGAAGCGGAUCCGCUACUUCAAUCAUAUGACCUUUUGAAGAAGGCUUACAACGGGGCGGCUCAGGAUGUCAAUGGCUCAACUCAAAAGUCCCCAAAGUGGUUGAUAUCAAAGAAUGCCAUUGUCUCUGGGCUUGGGCUCCUUGGCAUCAAACAAGGGAAUGUCGACUCUGUUGAAGGGGAAGCAAGGGCUCCUAAAGUGCGAAGAAAGAGGAUAGUCCGGAAGAAGGUGACCGCAUAAAUUUCUUGGGAGUUAAUCCUAGUCAAUAGCCCAAUUUUGCUGCCUGUCGAAGAGAUACAACACGGAAGUCGUCAUCAAACUCUUUUGAGACAUCUAAGAACUAGUAGGGAGGUGUUUCCAGGCAAGUAUAGUUCACUGAUAGAGGGAUUCUUUUCUUGAUGUCUAAAUACUAUAUGUGAUACAACGUCGUAUAUUCCAAUUUUUCUCCAGUUAAAUUCUAGUAAGUUAGAAAAGUUAAUUUUGUUCUAGCGAUGAAUUGUUUUGUUAGGCAGUGUUUACUUUCUGGAGUGAGAGUGAGGAGUGUGGAUUCCUCCCAUUCCAAUGUUUACUUCAACAAAAUAGGUAGGGAUUGGGAAUCCCACUCCGUGGGCCCCACCCAUUUUUGGAGUGGGGAGUGGGAGUGGGAGUCCACUCCCACCUCUCCCUUUUCUACCCUUUAUUUUUAAUUUAAUUUAAUAAAAUAAAAUAAUUUAUAAUUAUAUUUAUUUAGAUAAUAUUAUUAUAUUUAACUAAAUAAUAAUUUACAUUGAUUAUAAGUUAAAAUUACUUAAAAUAAUAAUAUUAUAUUAAUAGAUAAUUAAUAAAUAUAUGCUAUCUUUAUUUAAUAAUAUAAUAUUAUUAUAUUUAUUUUAAAAAUAAUAUUACUAUAUUUAUUUAAUAUUAAUAAUAAUAAAUAGUUCAUUCUAAGAAAAUAUUAAUUUUUUACUAAAUAAUAUUAUAUUAAUAAAUUUAAUAUAAUUAUAUAAAAUAAAAUAAUGUUUCAUUUUAUAUUUACCCUUCUUUUUAUUAAAUUUACUAUAACUAUAUUUAAUAAAUAUUUAAAUAAUAUUAUUAUAUUUAACUAAAUAAUAAUUGGGUUUGAUUCUAAGUUUAAUUUACUUAAAAUAAUAUUAUUAUAUUAAUAGAGAAUUAAUAAUAUUACUAUAUACAAUCUUUAUUUGAAAAUAUAAUAUUGUUAUAUUUAUUUAAAAUAAUAGUAUUGUAUUUAUUUAAUAUUAAUAAUUAAUACUAAUAAAUAGUUUAUUCUAAGAAAAUAUUAAUUUCAUACUAUGUUAAUAGUAAAAAUAUUUCAUUUAUAUUGCCCUUAUCAACAAUUUUUAAUUUAUAUAAUUAAAAUUAAAAAACUUGUGAUGUUCAUAAUUAAGAAUAUUAAUAAUUAUUAUAAAUUUACAAAUAUAAUAAAAUAAAUGUUUAUUCAUUAAAUAUAUUUUAUAUUAACUUUGUAAUUAAAAACUAUAAUUCUUUACAUAAGGAUAAAAUUGUAAUUUGAGACUAUUUACUCCCAAUCAAAGACAAAGUAAACACAUAAAUUGGAUUAUGAUCUCCAUUCCAGUGCAAGUAAACAACCUACUCCCACUCCCACUCCAUACUCCCAAUCCUAGGAUUCACACUCCUCAGGAUUCCCACUCCAAUCCAAAAAAUAAACGCUACCUUAAUAACAAUAAUUGCAUGUUGCUUUGGAAUCUUAUUCACUCUCUGCAACCCAGUUAAAUUGUGCAAAUUCUACUGUAGAUUUGUCAGAGUGUCUUUGUGAUUUCUUUGAUACAAUUUUGAUCGCAAAUUUCAGUUUGAAGAAUCAUGUAAUACCAAAAAACCAUAACAUGUAAUUACUUGAUCAUACUCGACUUCCUAUUUAGUACUACCGUGUUGUUAGGGAUGGCAAUGGGCACCGCCCGCAGCGGGUUUGCCAUUACCAAACCCAAACCCGCACAAAAUUUAAAUUACCAAACCCACCCGCAACCCGCAGCGGAUUUUAAUUUUUUUACAAAAACCCACCCGCAGCGGGUUUUAACAAUUACCAAACCCGCAAUGGUGUCUGGCGGAUUUUUUGUGGGUUUCCGUAUUUAAAAUCACAAAUGUUUAAUAUAUAAAUUUAUAAUAAUAACCUCAAAUUUCAUAUAACAUACUCAAUUUUAUAUUUAAACAAUGUAAAUGAAAAAUUAAAAUUUCCACAUCAAUUCAACACAAAUUCUCAAAUUUAAGUAUAAAUUACACAAAUCCAUUUUAAAAACUCAAACUAGUAUCUAAAAAUAAUAAUUACAUUUCAUAUUAUCAUUUAAAACAAGCUCCAAGAGAAGAUAUUCAUUUCAUUCACCACCAUAAGCACCCAUCCAACACAAUGCCUAUAAUAAUAAUUAAGAUUAAUAUUUUCAAAUACUAAUUCGAAGGAAAAUGCCUUUAGUUGUUUUUAGAUUAUGACUUUAGAAUAGGAGAUAGGCCACAUAUACACAUACACAACGUUGAGCCUUUGGCUAUUUGGUAAUUUGAUUAAUGACAUUAUUUUCUUUAUACAUUUUUAGAUUAAAAUUAAAUUAAAAAUAUUUGGAAAAAAUAUUGCGGGUUUUGUGGAUAUCCAUGCGGGUAUCCACCAGAUAUAAGGUUAAUACCAAACCCACCUGCAUCCAUGUGUGGGUUUUAAUUUAUAAUACUAAACCCGCCCGCAACGGGUAAAAUUACCCGCAAUGGGCGGGUUUUGGCGGGUGGGUUUGGGCGGGUUUGUGGGUUUGCGGGUACAAUUGCCAUCCCUACGUGUUGUAGUUAUAGUUAUUGUGAAAAAGGAACUGAAACUAUAAUAUAAAUGUUGAUCUUGUUUGUAUAUAUGAUUUUUAAAUAAUAAUUUUGGUAAAAUUAAUAAAUGUAUUAUUGAUUUUUUUAUACUCCCAACUUAAUUUUUAAGUCACAAUAAUAAAUAUUUAUUAAAUACUUUGAUACUAUAACUUUAAAACUAUGCUCCGCGGCACUCUUAUCUAAUUUUAAUUGUACUUUCUAGCUCGAUUAUAGAAAUCCUUACUCGAUGUACUUUACCAUACAAGAUGUUACUUUACUUAAUCUUACUCGACUUUAAUUGCAUAUUUUAUAACGAAUUUUUUUUAAAAAAAUUGGUCCCGAUUCCAGCAAAACAGUAACUUCCAUUCAAAAGGGUUCCACGUUGAGUGCAUGUAAUCUGCACAAGUUUGAGAAGAAAUAACCAAAAAAAAAAGAAACCCACGUCCAAAGAUGCCGUUGAAACAAAGGCCUAGACACUGUAUCCCAUCCCCUUUUACCAUAUUUUAUAAUUAAAGAGGCCGUCAUUGAAUUCAAAAAUUAUGAUCCAAAAUCCAAAAAUAGAAGAAGAAUUGGAAACAUACUCGGAGUUUUAAAUUGAUAUGAGAAAAGAAUUUAUCAUUUUUUUAACAAAAAUUUAAGCUAAGACGAAAAAAUAUGCCUAAAACACCCCUCACAUUAUCCCAAAAUUUCUAAACUCCGCCAUUCCUCUGACCAUCAUCUCUCCCAAAUCAAUCUUCCCCCAAAACCAGCCAUGGCUUCAAAUUCAAUCAGCUUAACACUCCAAUAUUGCUUGUAAGCCACCCACAAGUCCUCAACUUCACAUGGACUCAAGACCAAACCCUAGCUUCCUUCCGACACAUCCUCAUUCACUCCAUCAUUACUUACCUCUCCCUCACAUCCAUCCUCUACCACACAUCAACAUCAACAUCACCAUCAUCAUCACCUCUCAUUGGACCCCACAUCCUCAGACCCAUCACAGCCAUCCAUAACAUUUUUCAUUUUGAUGCUGAAUUAUCAUUUCACGGGAUUUGGUUUCCCUGGGUUUUGGGGUUGGUGCUUCAAUACUGUGUUUAAUGCUUCCCUUUUGGCCCUUUUUGUUAAUUUUCAUUACAAGAGCUUUGCUAAGAAAAGAAGCAGAGAUGAUCAAAACAACUAGUAGUUAUCCUUGUUUUGUGUUUUCUUUUUUAAUUUAUUUGAUUUUGGUUAAUUAUGAAUGGUGGUAAUGGGUUCAUUGCCAUUGACAGAGAUGUUUCCAGUUGCCUAAACUUUGUUUUUUUCAAUUUUGGUAGUACGUGUAAUUUGUCACCACAUUUGUUUAGUCUCUCCCUUUCAAAUUCCCUCUCACACAAAAAAAUUCGGAUUUGUAUUUUGUAAACUAACAUUUUUCAUUUUGUUAAUAAAUUAAUUAUUAUUAUCUACAUUUAUGUGAUAGGACACAUGCCACAUCAAUUAAUAUUAGAUCAUGAAUUUUUGCAACCCCAGCAAAAAAAAUUUAUGAAAGAUGUUUAGGUAAGGAUUAUUUUGGUCUUCUAAAGAGUAGAUUAAAAAUCAAUGUUCAAAGUAUUAGAACAUAAAUAAUCCCAGCUUUAAUAAAAUUUUGCCACAUAAUGAUUCUUAUCUCUCAAGAGAAACAUAUAAAUAAAAUGUACAAAGUUAGAAAUAUAGAAUGCAUUAGUACAUGUCAAUAACAAGACCAAUUAGAUCAUGGCAUUACUUAAUUUUAUUUUUAUUUUUUGCUUCUUUUGAAACAAGAUCAAUUAGUUAGAUCAUUGAAAAAGAAGCAGUCAUACAAAGUUUGAAUAUAAAAUUUAUAAUCUAAAAUUAAUGAUGUGACAAUUAACAUGUUAUUAACCUAGCUAAUAGAGUAGGAAGUCCCAAAUACACCAUCUUCUGCUACAGAAAUCAAUCCUACCUAGAAUACUUCUUUUUAUUGAAAUUUAUGAUGAUUUGUUUGUUUGCAUCAUGAAAGUUAAAAAUAAUUUUGUGAGUAAUUUGAUUCUUUACGGUACAAAAAAUAAAUUCGGAAAGUAUUAAUUUCUCUCAUACUUUUAGGGCUAAAAAAUAAAAGUAAGUCUAAUAUAUUUAUUAGUUAAUGAUUAUAUAUCAAUCAUCUCUCAUACUUUUCGAUCUGAUCCAAUCCAAUCUGAAUAUUCUAGCCUAAUCAACCCGAAACCCAAUCAAGUUGAUCUGAACACAAAUUUACCCACUCCUAGCGGGGAUCAUGACCCUACAAGCUUUGAAAAAUUUUGAGGUUUCGAAGUGAAAUAUUAAAAAUUAGGUAUAAAAAGACUGAUUUGGCCCCUAAGCAAUUAAUUUGAGAAUGUUACAUUUUCCAUUUCUCUUUUUGUCGUGACAUAAUAGACUAAAACGGAAUCACAUACUUCUUCAAAUGCCCAAAUGGCUUUGGCCUAAUAAAGUUAUAUAUUGACUGUGGACUAAAACAGAGCCACAACUUUUUCGAAUGACCAAAUGAAUUAAUGAGACAAUGGCGUUUGCCUACCUUGAUAACAAAAGUCGUCGGCCAUAAUCCAUAUAGACAAAAAAAUGGUCCAUACGUUAAGGUUAAAUUGAAAAAUAUAAUAAAUAAAUUUCAUUUGUGAUGAAAUUCGUAAUGGAUUUAUUACUUAGUUAUCUUUCACAUAUUUUCUCUAUAAUAUCAUAUAAGUUAUAGACCACAGCAUGAUAUUUAUUGCAAUUAAAAUCAUUGUGAAACUGAUUUUAUUCUUUUUUUUCUUCUCAAACAAAGUAUCUAGCUAAUUGCAGAUGUAAUAAAUUACUAAUUAACAUUAUUUUAUCUGAAAAAUAUAAUAAAUAAAUUGUCAGGAGAUGAUUUUAUCUGAAAUUUCACUUGCACGGUCCAGGCCACAUACAAAUUUGUGCUGAAAUUCAUAAUGGAUUAAUAUGAUUGGGCGAAAUUACUCUAUAUAUCAUUUCAUCAAUAUCUAUUAAACGAUAAAAAAUUUAUUGAUAUUUAUAAUAAAAAAAAUCUAUCCACUAAGUCUAUUCUAGAUCAACAAUUAAUAUAUUAUAUAUAACUUCAAAAGGUUCAUCGGUGGAUUGAUCUAAGCCUUUUGUUGUAGUUUAUAAAUAUUUUGUUGCUUAUAAUGUAAGAAAUUUUACAGGAGCUGAUGCUGAGUAGUCUGAAUAAGAAAAUUAAUUAUAUUGUAAGAUACUGGGUAUUCAUGAUAAAAUAAAUAAAUAAAAAAUGAAUAAAAAUUUAAAUCCUUAAUUAAUUUUUAUCAAAUUCUUAUCAAAUAUUUAAAAAAGUAUAUAAAAUCAAUUAAUUGAUGGUAUUAUUAAUUUUCAUGAUUAAUAUUAAAUAUAAAUAAACAAUAAUGACAUAAAUUAAAGUCUCAUAAAUGGAUAACUUUUUUUUCCUUAAUCUUAUCCCAAGUCCCAACUAAAGGAAUGUGUAAAUUAGGAUUAUUAAUCCCAUAAUUUUAAGAUUAAACUUAAAUUUAGUCCCUUAGUCCAAUUCAAUUAAGCUUACCAAAUUUGAUAUAAAUAUAUAAUCACAAAAUUAGUCCAAUUCCAUACUUAAUCCUAGUAUCCGACCAUGGCCUGAUAAAAUAGUUUAGGUAAUAUACUUUUAUGACUAGGGUUGGUAGAAAAGCCCGGGCCGGCCUAGGCCCGCAGGCUUUAAGCCCGACCCGUGGUUUGAAAUUAUGGAUAAAGGCUCGUAAUUAAUGAAGCCCAUAACAUAUGGGCUCAGUUAAGGGUCUAAAUGAAAAGCCUGGGCUUAAGCCCAGGCUUUAUAAUAAAUAAUAUAUAUAUAUAUAUAUUUUAAAAAAAAUUGUAUAAUAUAUUAUGAAAUUGAAAUUAAAAAAAAAAUUUAAACAAAACAAUAAAAAAAAUCGGGCAAAGGGCAAAGGUUUUGUCACAACUCACAAAAUCCCUAAAUCGGUAAAUCAAAAUAUCAAAUUAUUCGUGUUUCGUGAGCACCAUUUCGUGAGCAGUGAGCACCUGACAAAAUCUCACUCACUGUCACGGCGUCACCGUGCCGGCGUCUCACUGUUCUCGCCACCGGCAGCCAACAGUAGAGCAUCUCUAGAUUCCAGCAGCGUCGUCCAGCCAGCAUCAGCCAUCAGCGACCCACCUUCCAGCAGCAGUAGCAGCGAGCAUCUCCCGCGUAAGGCCAAUCCCACCGCCCAGCCACCCACCGUCCAGCCACCCAGCAAGGCAGCAACAGCAUCUCCCGCGUGUCGCAGGCUCGCAGCAGUGCCUCCCAGCAAUUUCCAUCAACAUUGGUAAGCAUUUUUUUGUGUCCUCACUCCUCAGUUUCUUGAUCUUUUCUUUGUCCCUUUCAGUGAUCUGGGUAAUGCUGCAUUUGAUCUUUUCAAAGUGGACUCUUUUUGAUCUGUUUGUUGUUCUAAAUUUUGUAAUUUUUUAUAUGGGUUUCGGCCAGUGGAGGAUUUGAUUUGAUUUUUUAUAUGGGUUUCGGCUCAUUUUCUUUAAAGCUUGUAAGUGUUUGUAGGUUGUUAAGAGGAUUUCAAUAGUUAAAGUAGAAAGAUUUGAUUUGUUAGUGAUUGAGAUGAUACCGGUUUCAAUAGUUAAAGGCUGUUAAGAGGAUUCCAAUGAUAUAGAAUUUAUUUCCUGUCUUCAAUUGCAGAGUGUUUAUAUUUCUCAAUACUGUUUAAUUUCCAUAUUCAUAUUAUUUUUCUCAGCCUGUACUAAGGUGAUGUCUCCAUUGUAUAGAUACUGACAUACUGUAUGGAGUUCUGGACAUUGUAAAUUUGUUGUCCUGUCACUCCUGUGCUUGUAAAUGCAGUAUGCGUUUAGUGCAUUUACACUUAGCUUAAUUAAUUUAUUAAUUUAAUAUUUUAUCUCCUUUAAUUUUGUAUAGGUUUAUAAUGGAAAAUGUCUCUGAACCUUCUAAUUUGCCUUCAAAUCUAUCUGUGGAGUCGGAAAAUGUUCAAGAAGAAAUGCGGAGUGAUAAAAAAAGAAAACAGAGGGUUGUUUCAAAUUGUUGGGACCAUUUUACAAAACUAAAUGUUGGUAGUGUAGCAAAGGCAAAAUGCAAUCAUUGUGGAACGGUUCUUUCUUGUGGAUCGGGAACCAGUCAUUUGAAUAGACAUACUAGACAAAUUCACGGUUUUAAUCAACCGACAAAUAGUUUUAUUAAAAAAAAUUUUGAAAAUUCGUAAAAGCCCAGGCCCAGCCCUAGGCCCGGCUCGCCCAAUUUGAAUGGGCUUUGAGAGGGCCUGGACUUUUUAAACUUUAUAAGGGCCUGGUCCUGGGCUUGGCAAAGCCCGGCCCAGACCCUUAAAUUGCCAACCCUAUCUAUGACUCACAAUUUAAAUAAAUUUGAGAAUUUAUAUAAGGGAUGGAAAAUUCACAAUAAUCAUAACAUGUGCUAUCUUUUCUUCCUUUUCUUAAUUAAAUAAAAGAAAAAAAUUAAUGACAGAACCACUGCUGUGUGAUAUCGAUGAAGUCGCAUUCGCCUACCUAAUAUUGCGCAAUCAGAUAGAAAAAAGGGUCGGCUGCAUGAUUUUUCCAACUUUUGUCUUAUUUUUCUCUUUUCCACUACAAAUUAAUUUGAGAAUGUUAUAUUUUCCAAUUCUCUUUUUGUCGUGACAUAAUAGACUAAAGCGGAAUCACAUACUUUUUCAAAUGACCAAAUGGCUUUGGCCUACCUGAUAAUAAAAGGAAUGGAUCCAUACGUUAAAGCUAAAUUGAAAAAUAUAAUAAAUAAAUUGUCAGGAGAUGAUUUUAUCAAAAGUUUCACUCGCACGGUCCCGACCAAAUACAAAUUUGUGAUGAUAUUCAUAAUGAAUUUAUACAAUUAGGCGAAACUACUCUAUAUAGUUUCAUCGAUAUAUAUUAGACCAUUACAAAUAUACUAAUAUUUAUAAUAAAAAAAAUUUAUGACUAUUUUAAAUCGACUGUAUUAUAUGUGAAUUCACAAGAUUCAUAGAUAGAUUGCACUGAGCUUUUUGUUGCAGUUUACAAAUAUUUUGUUACUAAUUAUCUUAAGAGCAGCAAGUAACUAAGAAAUUUCACAAGUGCUGAUGCUGUGUACUCUGCAGAAUUAACAAUGAAUUAUUAUGAAUCAGAGAAACAGGGCAGACACUGUACAAUUAUUGACGUGGUGGAGCAGAAAGCUAGCCCCAGACAGUGACUCAUGUGGGGACUCCUUCAAUUUGCAGCACAAAAGAACGUUCACAUUGACAUUGACUUGAGGGUAAAAAUUAAAUAACUCCUAUGGUAUAAGAAGAAUGCAAACAUGCUUGAAUGAACAUUCUCACAGAAUACAUAAAACCUACUUUCCUCUGAGCAUUUUAGCAAGAAAAGCAAUUGCAUCAUUUAUCAUUUGAUCUAAUAUCAGAAUGGCUCAUGCAAUCGUUUCCUCUCUCCUGGACCAGCUGAAUUCCAUUGCUCAAGGUCAGGUGAAAGAAAAGUUGAGGCUUGUGACGGGUGUCGAACAAGAAGUGGGUAAGCUUACCACCAAUCUUCAAGCCAUUCAAGCUAUGCUGGAAGAUGCAGAGCAGAGGCAAAUGAAGCAGGACAAAGCUGUUACGUUUUGGCUGGAUCAGCUCAGAGACGCAUCCUACGACAUGGAAGAUGUGUUGGAAGAGUGGAUCACUGAAACACGGAAAUUGCAGCUUGAUGAGGGCGGCGAUGAUGAUGAUGAUGAUAACGACAAUGCUUUUGUUACUCUUUUGACGAAGGUAUGUUCCUUCUUUCCUGCUGCCUCAAACUGCUUUGGUUGUUUCAAACAACUCAGUCUUCGUCAUCAUAUUGCUGUCAAGAUUAGAGAAAUCAGUAAAAGGCUAGAUGAAAUUGCCACUCGAAAAGAUAGGUUUAAUUUUGUUGAGAAUGUGAGUAACAAUGUUAGGAAUCCAGAGCGAGUGCGAACCAUCUCCUUGAUUGAUGAGAGAGAGGUUUACGGUAGAGUUGAGGAGAAAAAUGAGCUCUUAAGCAAGUUGUUGUGUGAAAGUAGUGAACAACAAAAAGGCCUUCAUGUCAUUUCACUAGUUGGGUUGGGGGGUAUAGGUAAAACCACUCUUGCACAAUUGGCGUAUAAUAAUGAUGAGGUGAAAAUAAAUUUUGAAAAAGUUAUAUGGGUGUGUGUAUCGGACACUUUUGAUCAGAUUAGGGUUGCCAAAGCAAUCAUUGAAGAUCUAGGUGAGUCAGCUUCUGGUUUAAACGAAUUCCAAUCUCUUAUGAGCCGUAUCCAGAGUUCAAUUAAAGGAAAAAAAAAUUUUCUUGUCUUAGAUGAUGUAUGGGAUGGGGAUUACAAUGAAUGGGAACCAUUCUUCCUUUGUCUAAAAAAUGGUCUCCACGGAAGUAAAAUUUUGGUUACCACACGUAAUGAGUCAGUUGCACGUAUGAUGGGAUCAACAGAUAUUAUCUCCAUUAAGCAAUUGGCUGAAGAGGAAUGCUGGUCAUUGUUCAAGCAGUUAACAUUUUUCGGUCGUUCUUUUGAGGAUCGUGAAAAAUUAGAACCAAUGGGGCGAAAAAUUGCACACAAGUGCAAAGGCUUGCCUCUUGCUGCAAAGGUAAUAGGGAAUCUCUUGCGCUCUAAAAGUACAGUAAAAGAGUGGCAAAGAAUUUUAGAGAGUGAAAUGUGGAAAGUAGAAGAGAUUGGGCAAGGUCUUUUAGCUCCUUUGUUGUUGAGUUAUAAUGAUUUGCCCUCCAAUUCUAUGGUAAAACGGUGUUUCUCAUAUUGUGCUGUCUUUCCAAAAGACUACAAUAUGGAUAAAGAGGAAUUGAUUAAUCUGUGGAUGGCUCAAGGUUACCUUAAUGCAGAAGAAGACGAAGAGAUGGAGAUGAUUGGGGAAGAGUGUUUCAACAUUUUAGCAACACGCUCUUUCUUUCAAGAAUUUAAGAAAAAUGCUGAUGAUGAUAUUAUGAGUUGUAAGAUGCAUGACAUAGUACAUGAUUUUGCCCAAUUUGUAAGUAGCAAAGAAUGUUUGUGGGUAGAAAUUAAUGGUACCAAAGAAUCAGUCAUAAACUCUUUUGGUGACAAAGUCCGUCACUUAGGGUUAAAUUUUCAAAGAGGCACUUCAUUUCCUAUGUCCAUUCGUGGACUUGAUAGAUUGCGUACCCUCCUAAUUGAUGAUGGAAGUCUGUCUCUUAGUAGUAGCAUCCUUUCGGAGUUAUUUAGUAAAUUGGCGUGUUUAAGGGCAUUAGUUAUAAUGCAAGGUUUUCAUCCUGAGACAAGUAGGAUUAGAGAAAUUCCAAAAAAUGUCGGAAAAUUGAUACAUUUAAAAUAUCUUAAUUUGAAUAGACUAUGUAUAGAGAUACUACCUGAGACUUUGUGUGAAUUAUAUAAUUUACAAAAGCUAGAUAUUAGUUGGUGCCGAAAUCUUAGAGAAUUGCCAGCGGGGAUUGGAAAGUUAAAGAACAUGAGGAGUUUACUGAAUGAUAACACUUAUUCAUUGAAGUACAUGCCGAUAGGGAUUUCCAAAUUAACCAAUCUUCGAACAUUAAAAAAGUUUGUGGUGGGUGGAGGUGUUGAUGGUAGCAAUACGCGUAGGCUUGAAUCUCUGAAAAAUCUUCAACUCCUUCGAGAAUGUGGAAUAGAAGGGCUGGGUAAUGUGUCCCAUUUAGAUGAGGCUGAGAGGUUACAACUUUACAAUAAGAAAAACCUCCUUCGUUUGCGUCUUGUGUUUGGUGGAGUCUUACAUGGGGAAGGCGAGAAAGAUAAACAACUUCUUGAAGCCUUACAACCGCCUUUGAAUGUAGAGGAAUUAUGGAUUAUGUUCUACCGAGGCAACAUUUUUCCCAAAUGGUUGACUUUGCUAACCAAUCUAAGGAAUUUAACACUUUCCUUGUGCAUUAACUGUGAGCAUUUGCCUCCUUUGGGAAAAUUGCCUCUGGAAAAACUCAAACUAUGGAAAUUAAAAAGUGUAAAAAGAGUGGGUAAUGAGUUUUUGGGAAUAGAAGAAAGCAGUGAGGACGACCCAUCUUCAUCUUCAUCGUCAUCAUCAGUUAUUGCCUUCCCCAAAUUGAAAUCACUCGAAAUUGUAGCAUUGGAAGAAUUGGAAGAGUGGAAUUACAGGAUUACGAGGAAGGAAAACAUCUCCAUCAUGCCCCGUCUUUCUUUCUUAAAAGUUGUUUUUUGCAACAAAUUAAAGGCGCUGCCGGAUUACCUUCUUCAAACGACGGCACUGCAGGAACUGCGUAUUUUUUCUUGUGAUCUUCUAGAAGAACUGCCCAUUCUAGAAGAUCGCAGGACAACAGACAUACCACGUCUUUCUUCCUUGCGAAUUUCGGAUUGCCCCAAAUUAAAGGUGCUGCCGGAUUACCUUCUUCGGACGACGACGCUGCAGGAAUUGACAAUUUGGAGAUGUCUCAUUCUGGAAAACCGUUAUAGAGAGGGGGAAGGAGAAGACUGGUAUAAGAUAUCCCACAUUCCCCACAUCAAGUGGUCGCCGUAAGAUAUCACUCGCCGGUAAUUUCUCCUCCUCCUCUGAUUUACUUCGUUGUUGCUUGCAAUGAAAUUAAUAAAAAUAAUUAUAUUUUGAAUUAAAAUUCUAUAUAGAAUCAAUCAUGGUAUAAAUAUGUAAAACUUCCUAGUUAUCAAAUCUGUUAAACUUGUUUUCUAAAGAUUAAAUAAUUAAAAAAAAACCAAGUGUAGUAUGUUGAAAUUUCUAUAUUUUCUUUUAAAAAAUUUGUGCUCUUUUAUAAAAUUUGAUACAACAUCGUAGAAAAUCCCAAUGUAAUUUAUUUUUUAAUGUACGAAAAGUUGUUAUGUGUAACUUCCUGAGAGAAAAAAUCUCUGUGAUACAUUUGCAGUAAUGUUGAAAACUAAAUUAUCAAUUUUAUCUUGUAUAAUGAUAAUCGUAUUUUUUUAUAUAUAAUUUAUGUGACAUUAAUUCUUUAAAGUAAUUGUGUAAUUGUUUUUAGUAGUACAUUAGCCCACUUUGUUUUAUUUCAUACGAGUUUAAUUAUGUUCACCAGGGAUUCGAGGAAAUGUCAGAACCACACUAGCAAUUCACAGGUCCAAUCUAAUUUGGUUUUAAUGAUGCAGGCAGGAGAGUAUUCUAAGAAAAUGAAAAGUUUAGCCAAAGGAUUGCUAAAAUGUUCUGCUGGUAAUUCACUUGCUUUAUUUUAUAGAAUUUCAUUUCCAUCUUCUUCUAUUGAUAUCUUGUUGUGAAUAAACAAGAACAGAGAAGUAAAUGAUUGAACCACAGAGAAGUAAAGAUAUAUCCAAAUUCGAUUAUUAUGAUGAUUAAAGCAAGCUCAAGCUCACGCAUUGCAUUUUUUAUUUUAUUUAGUUUAUAGAAUUUUCAUUUCCACCUGCAUUGCAUUUUUAUUUCAUUUUUAGGUUGACGUUGAAGACUCUAUGGAAAACAUUGGGGUAACCAAGGAUUAUCACUGUGGUUAUUGUGCAACGUUUGGUUGCUGGACUUUGAAGAAGGAAGUGAUGGCCGGGUCUGCUCUGUUUCAAUUGAGGAUGGAUAGCUGCCUGAAAGACAUGAUGAUUAUUAUUGCAUGAUGUUUAGGUGCUAAGAUAAUCAUUUAUAUCUUGCUUCAUUCUUGGAAUCAUUUAUCCUAUAUAAACAUAUUGAAUUGUGCUAAUAUUAUCAAUUUUUUCACCUAAUUUUCACUGUUGUUGUGAAAAGAAUUUCAGGCUCUCAAAAGCUACAAAGCAAAGCAUUUGUGGGCUGAUCAUAUGUUUCAAUUGAGGAAGGAGCUUGGUGUUGGCAAUAUUGUCCAGGUAACCACAGCUGAUAAUUUCCACAAAUUUGCAUUGUCAGAAUACACUUUAAUGUUCAUGGUGUUCCUCUGUGUUAUCAGGUUAUCGUGGUAUGUAAAGUAUCAUCUUUAAGGAUUUGUAAUAGACUUUGCAUUAAACUUAGUUGUCACCAGCUCCUGCAAUUGCUCACUCAUUCAAGAGUACUUCAAAAUUAGAUUUUCAAGGUUUGUAUGUUUAGUUGUGAUCAAAAUGUUUAGUCACUCAUUCUUAAUCUUUUCUGAUUUUCAAGUUCUUUAGGGUCAUAAACAGUUUUCCAACUCAUUCUUAAUUUUUAGGUUGAUUUCGAGUACCAUGUUGAGGACAUUCCUGAGACCAAGGAUUAGGCUGGCGAAGGAACCACUACCUCUGUUGUUAUUGUGCAAGGUUUGAUCAUUGGACCUUGAAUAAGAAUCCCUUACACGCAUUCUGUAAUUGAAGCGUUCUCUAAAGCAACAGAGCAGUUGAAGGAAUAGUGAUGGCCGGAUCUGCUCUAUCUUAAUUGAAGAUCUCUGUGAUGUUGAGGAGCUUAAAGCAGUUGUUGCUUUUUGAUUCCUGAAGACGAGUAUCUAAUGAUUGUUAAGGCGUAUUUCAUGAACUUCCUUUCUUAACGAAUGUUUCAAUGCUGGCUGUAGUAACAAUUUCAUAUCUUGCAUCUCUCGGGUGCAUCAUGUUCACGGGUUUGAAAAAGCAUUUGUGGUAAUGCUUCAAAGCUUGUACAAUGGCUGUGAAAAGGCACAUUCAAUUAGGUACGUUUUGGUGCGGUCUCCCAAUGCUAAUAUUAUAUUUUGUAUAGCAAUUAAAAUUUAGCUAUACAAUCUUAAUAUGCAAUAAAUCAUUGUAUACAAAGUUUUCUAUUAAUUAUAUGGUGACUGAAAUUUUAAUUAUCAUAUAUCAAUUUAAAUUUUUUUGUUACUCUCUUUUACUUUGCUUGUACAGAGUACCUGUUUUGGCUGAUAUGUCUAAUUCGUAGAAAUUCAUUUCCAUCGGUUUCCAUUGGCUUUAGCACAAACCGAAACAGAUCUCUGGGGAAAAGUUUUACUUCUUGUGAUAUUAUGCCUUUGUUUCUUCAUUCAUCAUAUUUUUCGAAUUCAUGCUCUCAUUCAGAGGGUAAAGCCUUUUUGAUGCAGCGGAAGUUUAAUGUUCAAAAUAUUCCGUUGAUUCUAGAGAAUACCGGAAUAAAAGAACAACUAAAUUCACGUUGAUUCAAAAGAAUACCGCGAACUUAGGGGUUAAGACUCGUUGAUUCAGAAUACCGAGAAUUAACUAUUCAAAUACUCACAAAGAGAUUUGAAAAUUGAAAUAUUAUUGAACUCAAAAUUCUCUACUUGUAAAAGUUACAAAAGACACUUAUUUAUACUAAAUAAGACUUAUCCUAAUAUGAUUAGAAAACCUAUUUUAAUAAGACUUAUGCCUAAAUUAGGAAUAUUAUCCAAAUAAGCAAUACCUAAACAAUAAGACUCUAAAUAGGAAACCAAAUUAAACUAGAAUACAAAUUAAUUAAAAUAUUCCUAAAUAUUAUACAUUUAAAUAUAAUUAGGAUUUCUUCAAUUUCUUGCUAUGCAUCAUUCCCGCCAGGUUGGAGAAAAUUCGUCCUCGAAUUUUGUAUAUUGUAAUCUUCAAGAAUAUCUUCAUGUGCAUAAGGAUUAAUUUUUAAAACAGAGCUUUGACAUAGACGACGAACUUUAAAUUUUCCAACUUUUGUAAUAACGUCCAUCCAAUCACUCCAAUGGCGUAAAAUAAAUUCUUCUAUCAACAACUUCUCCAAUAAUGUCUUCUCAUAUUGUUCGUGUCGAACUUCAACAUAGUUAAGGAAAAAUGAUUUUUUCUUAUAAUCCACUAACUGUUGAAAAAUAUCACAACUCUUUUUGUCUUCUUUCGGCAAAUCAAGAGAACAAUAAGAGAUUGUAUCAAUAACUAUCUCUCUCUCCUCCACAAGAUCAAAAGAUGGAUAAACAAUUACCUCUUCUCGUCCCACAAUAUCAAGAUUCUCAUCAAAUUUCGGCGAUUGAUCCAAAUCAAUAUUGUCUUUGUGUUGAGGAUUUGUUGUAGACAUGAAUGGCCAAUUAAUAUUCUCCUCGGAAGGAAUAAUAUUGUCGAAAGGAACAAAGUUACAAUUUUCCUCAUUAUCUUCAUAACAAACAUCACCGUGAACAACUUCAUCAAAUCCAUAUGCAUGCUUUAUGUGUAAAGAUUUUCUAUCUCGAAUUUUCUCUAAAUCUUGAGAAAUUGAACGCAAAAUCCUCAACAUCUUAACUAAAACAUCUCUCAAGAUGAAAUCUUCACGUCGAUAUUGUGAUUUCAUGAUAUAAUUUUUUUCUUUUUUUUUUCCUAUGCUUUUUUUUGGUGUUGUUUGGGUUUUUUUUUUUUAAACUAAACGGAAAAAAACAAAAAAGGAAAAAAGGAAAGGUUUGGUGGUAGAUGGAGUUAGAUUGGUGAGACCAGGUUUUGGCUCUGAUACCAAGCUGAUGCAGCGGAAGUUUAAUGUUCAAAAUAUUCCGUUGAUUCUAGAGAAUACCGGAAUAAAAGAACAACUAAAUUCACGUUGAUUCAAAAGAAUACCGCGAACUUAGGGGUUAAGACUCGUUGAUUCAGAAUACCGAGAAUUAACUAUUCAAAUACUCACAAAGAGAUUUGAAAAUUGAAAUAUUAUUGAACUCAAAAUUCUCUACUUGUAAAAGUUACAAAAUACACUUAUUUAUACUAAAUAAGACUUAUCCUAAUAUGAUUAGAAAACCUAUUUUAAUAAGACUUAUGCCUAAAUUAGGAAUAUUACCCAAAUAAGCAAUACCUAAACAAUAAGACUCUAAAUAGGAAACCAAAUUAAACUAGAAUACAAAUUAAUUAAAAUAUUCCUAAAUAUUAUACAUUUAAAUAUAAUUAGGAUUUCUUCAAUUUCUUGCUCUGCAUCACUUUUCCAGGCUGCUUUGUAGCCAAACUUUGACGCCUUUGAUGCAUGACUGUCAUUUAGAUUUUCCAAAUAACUGUUAGAUUGGAGAAGAAUAAGAAGAUACUGUUAAAAGGGUAUUUAAUUAGCGCCCUCUGAAUUUCUUGGAGUUAAUGUAGUCAAUUGCCCAAUUUUGCUUCAAACUCUGAGACACCUAAUAAAUAGUUGGAGGUGGUGGUAUUCGCCUGGUGUUAAUUUCCUGGCAAGUAUAGUUCACAGAUAGAGGGGUUCUUUUCUUGAUGUCUAAUUACCGUAUGUGAUACAACAUCGUGUAUUCCAAUUUUUCUCCAGUUAAAUUUUAAUACGUUAGAAAAGUUAAUUUUUUUUUAGCAAUGAAUUGUUUUCUUAAUAAUAAUAAUUGCCAUGUUCCUCUGAAGUCUUAUUAAUACCAGACCACCAACUACUAGGUUCAUCUCUCGUUCACUUCCUCAGGGAAUCUCGAGGGCAUUCAUUGGCAGGUAGUCUUUCUUGUUGAGCUCCUGGAAUUACUUUUAAUUUAUCAUUUGUUGGGUUUUGCUUUUUGAUUGCUUUGGGAUUUGUGUUAUUAUCGCUUUGUCGCUCAUUAAUCUUGGCUGUUUUGAAUCUGUGUUGGAUUUAGAAGUUUGGAGUUGAAAACAGUUAAAGCUUAGACUAGUAGAAGAGAUUUAUACAUUCAUUUAUCUUGGACAAAGUUUUUGGGGGAAAAAAAAAUUAUAAGUAUACACUUUCCAAUGGUUCGGUGAUGUUUGAUUGGUUUAAAGAUGUUGGAUCUCUCAUCAGAUUUCUUAUGUAUCGACUGCUGUUGCCACAGGAUGCUUGCAGAUCCUGCUUUUUUGUAUAAACUUCUACUAGAGCAGGCUGCCACAAUUGGUUGCACUGUUUUGUGGGAGUUGGAGAAUCAUAAGGAGAGGUGUGUUUUUUCUCUCAUAACAAAGGAACUCUUCCCUUCCUUUUUAUUUUCAUCUUAUAUAUUAAGCUAAUAAAUGUUUGCUUCUGUCGUGAUGGGAUAAAGCAAGAAUGGGAUCAGCUUAGUUUUGGUGCUUUCCUUGGACUAUAUGCAAACAUGAGAUAUCAGCUAUUGUGUGGAUUUGAUAGAGCGGUCAUCAACCAUUUUGAUGUUACCAGGUUAUCUCUCCCUCUCCCUCUUCUACGCAUUUGUUUAUUGAUCUACAUCUCUAUAUACAUUGAUAGACUAUUCUGGACGUACCAAAUUACCCUUGUUUUAAUGUUUUGCCUGGGGAAUCUGUUUAUUUGUCUGAUAAGAGGUUAGUGUGGUUUCUAUUGAAGUGUGUAGAUCUAUCACCAAGUAUUAUUUCAAUUUUUCUUUACUUAAUCAACUUGCAUCCUUUCCAAGUCCAGAUCCUUAACAAUAGUGCGACAUCGCUACAGAAGUACAAUUUCUCUAGUUUGACAGUUAAAUACGUAAGAAUGGUUUUAAAUUAACUGAACUCUGUGAUAGUUCUCUAAGGAAAUACAAGUGGUGAAUCCGGUUCCAACUUUUAAGUGCCUUAAUUUACCCAUUUGUUCAGCCCUGUGUGUAAACAAUCAGUAAUUGUUGUCCAAAUUAUACUUUACUGCCUAUAUGUGUUGGACUUUGUCUAUUGUUCAACUUCUCAAAUGGAUUCCAUGCAGGGUUCUUAAUGUCCAAUUAGGAGAAAGAUCAAGGCUUGCUUGGCUAGGAGUGGAAGCGGAUCCGCUACUUCAAUCAUAUGACCUUUUGAAGAAGGCUUACAACGGGGCGGCUCAGGAUGUCAAUGGCUCAACUCAAAAGUCCCCAAGGUGGUUGAUAUCAAAGAAUGCCAAUGUCUCUGGGCUUGGGCUCCUUGGCAUCAAACAAGGGAAUGUCGACUCUGUUGAAGGGGAAGCAAGGGCUCCUAAAGUGCGAAGAAAGAGGAUAGUCCGGAAGAAGGUGACCGCAUAAAUUUCUUGGGAGUUAAUCCGAGUCAAUAGCCCAAUUUUGCUGCCUGUCGAAGAGAUACAACUCGGAAGUCGUCAUCAAACUCUUUGAGACAUCUAAGAACUCGGAGGGAGGUGGUGGUAUUCAGUGUGUUUCCUGGCAAGUAUAGUGCAGUGAUAGAGGGAUUCUUUUCUUGAUGUCUAAAUACUAUAUGUGAUACAACGUCGUAUAUUCCAAUUUUUCUCCAGUUAAAUUUUAGUAAGUUAGAAAAGUUAAUUUUGUUAUAGCGAUGAAUUGUUUUCUUAACAAUAAUAAUGGCCUGUUGUUUUGGAAUCUUAUUCACUCUUGUAACCUAGUUAAAUUGUGCAAAGUCUACUGCAGAUUUGUCAAACUGAGUGUCUUUGUGAUUGUUUUGAUACACUUUUGAUCGCAAGUUCAAGUUUGAAUCAUCUUGUAAUGCCAAGAAAACCAUAGCGCUAUUAGUUACUAGAUCGCACUCGAGUUUUUGUUUGACUUUUAACUACGAGAUCAGCUUUUAGUAUUAGCUGUAGUUAUAAUAUAAACGUUAAUUAUGAAACUCUUACCAAAUUUUAGUUGUACUUUCUAGCCCGAUUGUAGAAAUCCAUACAAGAUGCUACUCAAUUUUACUUAAUCUUACUCGUCUUUGAUUUGUAAAUUUUAUGCCUAAAUUUUUGUCAACAAAUUGGUCCCAGUUCCAAGGUUCUUCAGCUUGGGUGAUCCCAGCAAAACCAUUACGUCCAUUCAAAAGGGUUCCACGUUGAGUGCACGAGAUCCACAAGUUUGAUUGGGCAGAAAUACCUGAUGAAAAACCUGAUGAAACCCACGUCCAAAGAUGCCUUUUGUUGCGGAGGCCUAGACGCGACACCCCAUCCCCUUUUACCAUAUUUUAUAAUUGAAGAGGCCAUUAUUGAAUUUAAAAAUUAUGAUUCAAAAUCCAAAAAUAGAAAAAGAAAAACAACCGUUGGAAACCACUCGAAAUUUUAAGUUGAUAUGAGAAAAGAUUUUUUCAUCAUCAUCAUUACUAUUAUUUCUUUUUAACAAAAAUUAAGCUAAGACAACAUUAUAUACCCAAAAUACCCCUCACAUUAUCCCAAACUUUCUAAACUCCCCCACUCCUCUCAACAUCAUCUCUUCCAAAUCUUUCUUCCUCCAAAAAGCAGCCAUGGCUUCAAAUUCAAUCACCUCAACACUCCAAUAUUGGCUUGUAAACCACCCCAAAAUCCUCAACUUCACAUGGACUCAAAACCAAACCCCAGCUUCCUCCCCACACUUCCUCAUUCUCUCCAUCCUCACUUACCUCUCCCUCACAUUCAUCCUCUACCACAAAUUAACGCCAACAUCACCAUCAUCAUCACCUCUCAUUGGACCCCACAUCCUCAAGCCCAUCACAGCCGUCCAUAACCUCACCCUCCUCCUCCUCUCCCUCGUCAUGGCCGUUGGUUGCACUCUCUCCAUCGUCCUCCAUUCACCCAACCUCCGUCACACCCUCUGUUUCCCCCCCACCAUUUCUGCCUCCGGUCCCCUCUUCUUCUACGCUUACAUCUUCUACCUCUCCAAAAUACUCGAAUUCCUAGACACCCUUUUGAUCAUUUUGUCAAACUCCAUCCAACGGCUCACGUUCCUCCACGUCUACCACCAUGCAACCGUCGUCGUAAUGUGCUACCUUUGGUUACAGACGAAGCAGUCUUUGUUUCCUAUCGCACUUGUCACCAAUGCAAGUGUGCACGUGAUCAUGUACGGGUACUAUCUAUUGUGUGUGAUGGGGUUGCGGCCAAAGUGGAAGAGAUUGGUCACUGACUGUCAGAUUGUUCAGUUCGUGUUUAGUUUUGUUGUUUCAGUUUUGAUGCUGUAUUAUCAUUUUGCGGGAUUUGGAUGCUCUGGGAUCUUGGGUUGGUGCUUCAAUGCUGUGUUUAAUGCUUCCCUCUUGACACUUUUUAUUAAUUUUCAUUCCAAGAGCUAUGCUAAGAAAAAGCAGGGAUGAUCAAAACAAAUCGUCGUUGUGAUUGUUCUCUGUGUGUGUUUUUUUUUUGUGGUUAAUUAUGAAUGGUUGUGAUCGGUUCAUUGCAUUUGACAGAGAUGUUGAAGGGUUAUGUACUGGAAAAUAGAAAUUAAACCAACAUUAUCACUAUAACUGGUACAUUAUUACCAUCACAGAUCAAGAUCUGAAUGGACGCAUAGCAGCCAUCCUCAAAACCAAAGGAGGAGAAAAUUGAACUAGAACAACCACCUUAAGGUGAAGAAGGCCAGAACAAGACACACAUCCUCAAAUCAUAAGGAAGAGGUGGGUGCAACCAAAAAAAAAAAAAAGAAGAAAUCAAGAAUCCACUGGAGAAGGCAAGAAAGAUUUUUGCCUCCGAAGAUUCGGUGAGGAAGAGAUGAGGAGUUUGGAGCGGAAAAGUUUUCGGAGAGAUCUGCAGAUUAGCUUUAAAAGUGUGUUUUAAAGAAAAAGUUGUUGAGAACUUGAGAGGAUACAUAUGCAAUCAAAACUUUACUCUUCAUGUUUGUGGACUAUGUGGAAUGUUUAUCCACUGAGUGUAAUCGUGACGGUUGGAUUGAGUGAUUAAAAUCACACGGCUGAUAUUAGUUGGUUCUAUGUUGGAGUUGAUCCAACAUAGCCGGAGCCUUUAAAUAAAAAACAUUACAACUCAUGCAUCCAAGCACUUAAAGUUGGCUUGAGUGCAUGGGUUGUUGUCAGUUUUCUUCCUAAUUAAAUUAGGUAGGGAUAAAAUUAUCUCUUUAUUAAUAAGAAUAAAGUAGAUAUCUCUCUCGAUUUUCCUCUUAAUUAAACUGAAUAGGAGUAAAAUUAUCUUCUAAUUAAUAAGGAUAUACUAUAUAUCUCUCUAAUAUUAUGUGAUGGUAGAAAUUUAGGUUGUACGGUAAUAGAAUUAUCAAGGAUAGUCUUGAUAGAAUUAAUGCAAAGAAUUAAGAUAAAGCCUCAAAGAUGGAACAAAGGUUAAAAAAAAAAAAAAGAGUACAAGACAAAGAAAUAAGGAAACAAAAGAAGACCAAGAAUAAAAGAAAACAUAAUUUGGAAAACAAAAAAAUGGAUUGCAAUUUUAAAUUUUGAUUAAGGAUAAAUUGUAGUGGAUGCAAUUGUUGGUAAUUUAUUAUAUUUCAAAGCUCAAAUAAGGAAUAAAAUUAUUAUUAUGAUUAUUAUUAUUUUGCAAUAACUCGUUUCAAAUUUUAAAAGAUUAUAACUUUUUGUUUUUCAACAUUUUAAUCAUAAAUUAAAAAGGAGUUACUAUUCAAGAUUCCUAAGAAUACUGAAAAAAAUGAUAAAUAUUAUUCUAAGAAAAUGAUAUAUAUUGGAUAUACUGAAAUAUUAUAAAUUAUUAAAUAUUUUACUAUUUUACCCCUUAGUUUGAUGUUUGGGGAAAAAAUACUAAAAUGGCUUUCAAUAAAAAGAAUUAUUAUUAAAAAAAUAAGAUUAAAAUUAUAACAAAUGAUAUUAAUAAGAAAGAAACUGAUAAAAAUUUGGGUUUCGAAAUAGGGGUUAAGGCUUCAGUCCUUGAAUUUCUCGACAUUUUAUAUACUUUUAAUUUUUAACCUGUCAAAUUACAUUAUUAAUGGAAUGUCAAUAAAUUUUGUGCGUUAAUUUUUGUUUUAGAUACUUUAAAAGGUAAAAUGGUAUUUUGGAUGGUAAAAGUCAACUAAUUAAUUAAAUAUUUAUAUUCCUAGGAAAUUAUUUUUUAAAUUUUCAUUGUGGUGAUAUCAUAAAAUAAAUUUGUGAUUAUCAUACUUGUUUUAUAGAUUAAGAUAUAAGUAAAAGUUAAAUUAAUCUUUCAAUGGUUUUUUUACUUUUUUUUUUCUAUAGGGAGUUAUUAUUAAUAAUUUUUUUUGUCGUCUAACUUGAAAUAUAAUAGACCUUAAGGGGCAAAAUAAAAUUAUUCUUGUUAACUCCACGAAACUAUUAAUUAGUUAGGGUUAGGGGCAUUCUCGUAUUUUUCAAGUCAACAUCAAUUAACUAUUAAAAAUAAUGGCAUUUGGCAGGUAAAUUGAAGUUUUCAUACUUUUGGAGGGUAAAUUGAAGUAUUUCAAUCUAAUAAGGGUGUGGGACGAAAUUUAACUAUAAGUAAAUUAUCCGUGAGGCAUGCUUUUUACAACUUUUGUUUUCUUCUUUUUUUUUCUUUUGAGUUUUUGUUUUUGUUUUACAUGGCAUUGGCCCGACCAGUACAAAUUAAUUUUAGAAUAUUUACAAUUAUGUACCAUAGUUGUGGAGUAGAAUCAUAGAAAUUAAAGAUGGUAAAAUUAUUGACGUGUGGGGUGGGGGAGGAUAACUAUUAACUUUUUUCAUGCAAUCUAAGAAGAAUGCAACUGCUCCUUUGAUUUGGUAUUUUCGUAACAAAAGCACACUGAACAUCUUAUCAAAUUAUUUCUCCUUUUCCUUGUCAGAAUGGCGGAUGCGAUCGCUUCCCCUCUUCUUGGGCAACUGAACUCCUUUGCUGCUUAUGAAUAAGGAUUUGAGUUCCAUUUGUCUUCCUUUUCUUAUUUAGAUUAGAAGGAUUUUAUUAUCAUAUAAUAUUUUGGAUUUGCCUAUUUUGGUAAAUUCCUAAUAUUUAUGUUUCUAUAAAAGUGGUUCAAUACCCAAUUUUGUUUGUUCAAAUUAUUCGCAAUAAAACUUAUUAUUUAAAAACCUGGUUUCUAUUAUCUAAUAGCCUUUUAAUGUUUCCUCAUCGUCAGCUGAUAUUAGAGUAAGUUCGCUUGUUAUCAUGAUGUGACCACACAAAGGAACAACCGUCCCGAAGACAUUCAAGGGAAGUAGACAACGACUGUGGAGGCAGAGCAAAGCUCAGGGAAGGCUAACCCGGGCUGCAGCCCGGGUAAGCUUUUUGAAAAAAAAAAUUAUUUAUAAUUUAUAAAUUUACUUUUAUUAGUAUUUAUAAAAAAAUAAAAACAAACCCAAUAAUUAUAGGAAUCUUUAUUUUCCCCAAAUUACAAUUCAUAAAACUCACCAGUAUCUAACUAAAUCUGAAUUUAAAAUUCACCAAAAUUCAAUUGCUCAAGUCUCUUACCGUUGCUGAAUACCCAGUCUCCUGCGCUCGAAUUGACGCCUAGCCACUGCCUCAUGAGUGACGCCGAACCACUGCCGCAAGGCCCGCACCCACAGGUUGAAUCUCUUACCGCUGAGCCGACGCCGAAUGCCCAGUCUCUUGAUGCGGCCCCUGGUACAAAGCACUUUGCCUUUUAAACUUUAGUUUAUAGAAUAUAAUAUGAUUUUAUGAUAAUGAUGGUUGGCACACGAAGUGGAAUUGUGGAAGACUGGAAGUUGUUGAUUUUGUGAACUGUGAUUCAUCUUUUUAAAAUUAUAAAAUAAUAGAAUGUGAAAAACGGUGAUGAUAGCAUAUAAAGUGGAACUGUGAAAGGUGUUGAUUCAUCUUCUUGUAAUUAUAAAAUAAUGAUGGCAUGAAAGAAUGAGUGAAUAAAAUAGUAAAACAAUUAAUUUGAAUGCUGACUUUUUUAAUUAGCUUUUAACUUGCGAUUUUGUCAAAUUUUUUAUAAAACAAAUACUAAAUUUUUAAUGUAUUUUAUUAUAGAUUCAAUGUUAAAUAAACCAAGGAAAACUCUACUUUCUUUUUUUAAGAGAGUAGGUGAAAAUCAAUCAUCCACCAAGUCUUUAUCUCCAUGUCAAGUUAAUGCUCAAGAUUCCAGUGAGCAACAUACUUCCAAGUUUCAAAGGGUUGAAGUUGAAGAAACUAGAAAUACUUAUCUGGAGUGUGAUCUUGGAUUACGUCAUCAAAUAGGGACGUAUUCAGUAAAUCAACGUGAUGAUAUUAGAAGGGAGUACAUCAAAAUGGGACCUUAUCAUCCUAAACUACGAGAUUAUCCACUAACUAAUGAUGGCAUGCAAGAACGUAGGUUUCACUGUCACUGGUUUAAAAAAUUUCCAUGGCUUGAGUACUCUGAGGUAAAAGAUAGUGCAUUUUGUUUUCCAUGCUUUCUUUUUGAUGAAAUUCCAUCAAACAACCCAAAAUUUUUUAUUGAAGGAUUUUCUAGUUGGAAGAGAGUCAACAAUGGAAAAACAUGUCCUUUUUUAUAGCAUGAAGGGGGUCCAUCUUCUCAUCAUAAUGAGAAUAUGCAGAGUUGGGGUUGUUUGAGGAACCCAAUUCAACACAUUGAUAGAUUAAUUAAUGCCCAAACUUCACAACAACUUUUGGAGAAUAGCCUACGAUUGAAGACCUCAAUUAUUGCAGUUAAAUGGUUAGCAAAGCAAGCAUGUGCUUUUAGAGGUCAUGAUGAACUAGUUAAUUCAAGAAAUCGGGGAACUUUCAUAGAGUUGAUAAAGCAUUUAGCGGAGUGUAGUAAAGAAAUUACUCAAGUUGUCUUGGAAAAUGCUCCAUCGUAUGCUAAGUAUACAUCGUCUGACAUUCAAAAAGAGCUUUUAAAUAUUCUUGCAAACAAAGUGAGAAACAAGAUACGCAAGGAACUUGGAGAUGGUAAGUUUUGUAUUUUAGUAGACGAAGCACUUGAGGAAUCAGAUAAAGAGCAAAUGGCUAUUAUUUUAAGGUAUGUGUGAUUGUGAUGGAUAUAUUCGAGAACGUUUUUUUGAAGUUGUCAAUGUCAUGGAAACUACAGCAGUAACAUUGAAAAAAGAAAUAUGUAAUGUUCUUGCACGAUAUGAUCUUUUAGUUGAAAAUAUCCGAGGGCAAGGGUAUGAUGGUGCUAGUAACAUGCGGGAUGCAUGGAAUGGAUUACAAGCAUUAUUUUUGAAAGAUUGCCCAUAUGCAUAUAAUAUACAUUGUUUUGCACAUCAACUACUUGCUUUAGUUGCAGCAUCUAAUGAUGUGCCAGAUGUAUGGCUUUUCUUUUCAGCAUUGGGUUCAAUUGUAAAUGUUCUGACUUCAUCUGCUAAAUGACUUUCUGAGUUAAAAUCUGUUUGGGAAGCAGAAAUAAUAGAUUUGAUAGCUUCAGGAGAAGUUCAAACUGGUACAGGGGCCAAUCAAAUUUAUACUUUGCAACGGCCUGGGGCUACUUGGUGGAGCUCUCAUUUCCGUUCUAUCAGUAGGUUGCUUGAUUUGUUUAGUGUUGUUCGUAACGUUCUUAGGAAGUUGGUAGAGUGUGGACCUAACAAUAGUAUACGUGGAGAGGCUAAAGGUGCAUGUGAAUCAAUGACAUCUUUUAAAUUUGUGUUCAUUUUGCAUUUAUUAAAUAAAGUUUUGGGGGUGAGUGAUUUACUUUGUCAAGCAUUACAAGUUAAAUCUCAAGAUAUUCUAAAUGCUGUGCACUUAGUCUCAACUACGAAAAAACUUCUUCAAAGGCUGCGAGACAAUGGUUGGAAAACUUUUAUUGAGAACGUAGUUUUAUUUUAUGAAAAGAAUGAGAUAGAUAUGCUUGAUAUGAAAGCUCGCCAUAUGAAAGGCAGAGGACGUUCUUGUCAGCAGAAUAAUUAUAUUAUAGUUGAGCAUUAUUAUCAUUAUGAUAUAUUUAAUACUGUGAUAGAUUUUCAAUUGAUGGAGUUGAAUAAUAGAUUUAUUAAACAGACUUUGGAACUCCUCACUCUUAGUUCAGCUUUAAAUCCUAUUGAUGCAUUUAAAUCAUUUAAAAUUGAAGAUAUUUGCAGCCUUGCUGAAAGAUUUUAUCCUGAAGAUUCACUAAGAUUGAGUUACAGGCUUUGAGAAGACAAUUAGAGUGCUUUGAGAUAGAUAUACACUCUCUUCUAGAGUUUCAGAAUAUUACUUCCCUUUCUAAACUGUGUCGAAGAUUGGUUGAGACUAGAAAGUCACGGAUUUAUUUCUUGUUGGAUAGAUUAAUUCAUUUAGUGUUAACCCUUCCUGUUUCAACAGCAACAACAGUUGAGAGCAUUUUCUGCCAUAAAACUGAUUAAGACAAUACAUUGAAACAAGAUGGAGAAUGUGUUUCUUUCAGAUUGUAUGGUUAUUUACAUGGAAAGAGAAAUUACAAACAAUAUUGACUCAGAUGCGAUAGUAGAUGAAUUUUUUUUUUGAAGAACCGCAGGACACAUCUUCAUCAAUAGUGUUUUUCUUAUUUACAUUGUAUUUUUAUAGUUUUAUGGUUAAAUUUUUGCGCUUAUGUAGUGUGCUUAAUUUCAUUUAUAUAAAACAAUUUUUUUGGGAAGUAAAUUUCAUUUUUUUUUAAAUCUAGCCCACCCAAACAAAUGAUGCUAGCUUCGCCAUUGGAGGUUAUCAGAUAGAUGGUCAAAGAAGCAAUCUUGUAAGUCAUGGAGUAUGCAUAUAAUGUAAGAAUGGCAACAGACAAAUAUCAGGUUAUCUCUUGUAAACCAUAUUGAUAAAUCUAAUGAGGGAAAGAUAUUUUUUUUUUGUCCUAGAUGACGUGUGGGAUGGAAGUUACAAUCAAUGGGAACCAUUCAUCUAUUGUUUAAAGAAUGGUCUCUACAGUAGUCAAUUUUUUGAUUACUACACAUCAUUAGAUAGUAGCAAGCAUUAUGAGAUUAACAAAUAUUAUUUUUAUUAAGGAAUUAACUGAAGAAGAAUGUUGGUCAUUGUUUAAGCAAGUAGUAUUUUUUGGUCAAUUUUUUAAGGAUAGUGACCAAAUGAUAAAAAAAAUUGCAUGCAAGGCCUGCCUCUUAUUGCAAUCCAAACUAAACUUGAAUUUUUGAUUUGAUACAAUCCAAUCUGAAUAUUCUAACCCAAUCAACCUAAAAUCCGAUUAAGUUAAUCUGAACACAAAUUUGCCCACUCCUGGCGAGGAUCAUGACCCUACAAGCUUUGAAAAAAUUUGAGGUUUCGAAGUGAAAUAUUAAAAAUUAGGUAUAAAAAAACUGAUUUGACCCCUAAGAACUUGAUAUAUAAAAGAUGCAGAGCAGAGGCAAAUGAAGCUCGACGAAGUUGUUACUGAUUGGCUGGAUGAGCUCAGAGACGCAUCCUACGACAUGGAGGAUGUGUUGGAUAAGUGGAUCACUGAAACACGGAAAUUGCAGCUUGAUGAGGGCGGCGAUGAUGACGAUGCUCUUGCUCUUGCUCCUCCUAAGAAGAAGGUAUGUUCCUUAUUUCGUGCUGCCUCAAACUACUUAGCUGGUUUCAAACAACUCAUUCUUCGUGAUGAUGUUGCUGUCAAGAUUAGCGAAAUCAGUGAAAAGCUAGAUGGUAUUGCCACUCGAAAAGAUAUGUUUAACUUUGUUGAGAAUGUGAGUAACAAUGUUAAGAAAACAGAGCAAGUGCCAACCACCUCCUUGAUUGAUGAGGGAGAGGUUUUUGGUAGAGAUGACGAGAAAAAUGAGCUGUUUGGUAAGUUGUUGGGUGAGAGUGGCGAACAACAUCCUCAUAUCAUCUCACUGGUUGGGUUAGGGGGUAUAGGUAAAACCACUCUUGCACAACUAGCCUAUAAUAAUGAUGAGGUGAAAAGAAAUUUCGAAAAAGUUAUAUGGGUGUGUGUAUCAGACACUUUUGAUGAGAUGAGGGUCGCCAAAGCAAUCAUUGAAGGUCUAGGCGAGUCAGCUUCUGGUUUAAGCCAAUUCCAAUCUCUUAUGAGCCAUAUCCAUAGAUCAAUUAAAGGAAAAAAAAAUUUAUUGUCUUAGAUGAUGUAUGGGAUGGGAAUUAUAAUAUAUGGGAUCAAUUUUUCUUUUGUCUAAAGAAUGGUCUUCCCGGAAGUAAAAUUUUGGUUACCACACGUAAUGAGUCAGUUGCAAAUAUGAUGCGAACAAUAGAGUUAGAUAUUAUCUCCAUUGAACAACUAGCUGAAGAGGAAUGCUGGUUGUUGUUCAAGCGGUUGGCAUUUUUCGGUCGCUCUUUCGAGGAUUGUGAAAAAUUAGAACCAAUCGGGCGAAAAAUUGCACGCAAGUGCAAAGGCCUGCCUCUUGCUGUAAAGGUAAUAGGGAAUCUCUUGCGCUCUAAACGUACAGUAAAAGAGGCAAAGAAUUUUAGAGAGUGAAAUGUGGAAGGUAGAAGAGAUUAGGGAAGGUCUUUUGGCUCCUUUGUUGUUGAGUUAUAACGAUUGCCCUGUAAUUCUAUGGUAAAACAGUGUUUCUCAUAUUGUGCUGUCUUUCCAAAAGACUAUAAUAUGGAUAAACAUGAAUUGAUUGAUAUGUGGAUGGCUCAAGGUUACCUUAAUGCAGAAGAAGACGAAGACAUAGAGAUGAUUGGAGAAGAGUAUUUCAACAUUUUAGCAGCACGCUCUUUCUUUCAAGAGCUUGUGAAAGAUGAUGAUAAUAAUAUUAUGAGUUGCAAGAUGCAUGACAUAGUACAUGAUUUUGCCCAAUUUGUAGGUAGAAAAGAAUGUUUGUGGCUAGAAAUUAAUGGUACCAAGGAAUCAGUCAUAAACUUUUUUGGUGAGGAAGUCCAUCACUUAAGGUUAAAGUUUGAUGGAGAUACUUCAUUUCCUAUGUCUAUUCAUGGGCUUAAUAGAUUGCGUACCCUAUUAAUUUAUGAUGAAAGUCCUUACAAUCCGUCUCUUAAUAAUAGCAUCCUUCCAGAGUUAUUUAGUAAAUUGGCGUGUUUGAGGGCAUUAGUUAUAAGGCAGUCCCCAUUUUUUUGUCCAAAGUCGUUCCUAUAUUUUCAUUCUGACAAAAAUUGGAUUAGAGAAAUUCCAGAAAAUAUUGGAAAAUUGAUGCAUUUAAAAUAUCUUAAUUUGUCUGGACUGUGUAUAAAGAGACUACCUGAGACUUUGUGCGAAUUAUAUAAUUUACAAAAGCUAGAUAUUAGGCGGUGCCGAAAUCUUAGAGAAUUGCCAGCGGGGAUUGGGAAGUUAAAGAACACGAGGAGUUUACUGAAUGGUGAAACUUAUUCGUUGAAAUACAUGCCAGUAGGGAUUUCCAAAUUAACCAGCCUUCGAACAUUAGAAAAGUUUGUUGUGGGUGGAGGUGUUGAUGGUGGCGGCACGUGUAGGCUUGAAUCUCUGAAAAAUCUUCAACUCCGUGGUAAAUGUAGUAUAGAAGGGCUGAGUAAUGUGUCACAUUUAGACGAGGCUGAGAGGUCGCAACUUUACAAUAAGAAAAACCUCCUUCGUUUGGGUCUUCAGUUUGGUGGAGACGUAGAAGGGAGGAGGAAGAACGAGAAAGAUAAACAACUUCUUGAAGCCUUACAACCGCCUUUGAAUGUAGAGGAAUUAGUGAUUGUAUUCUACGGAGGCAACAUUUUUCCCAAAUGGUUGACUUCGCUAACCAAUCUAAGGGAACUAAAACUUUCCUCGUGCGUUAACUGUGAGCAUUUGCCUCCUCUGGGAAAAUUGCCUCUGGAAAAACUCCAACUAAAGAACUUGAAAAGUGUAAAAAGAGUGGGUAAUGAGUUUUUGGGAAUAGAAGAAAGUAGUGAGGAUGACCCAUCUUCAUCUUCAUCUUCAUCUUCAUCUUCAUCGUCAUCAUCAGUUAUUGCCUUCCCCAAAUUGAAAUCACUCAAAAUUGAUGGAAUGAAAGAACUGGAAGAGUGGAAUUACAGGAUUACGAGGAAGGAAAAAAUCUCUAUCAUGCCACGUCUUUCUUCCUUGAAAAUUGGUUCUUGCAACAAAUUAAAGGCGCUGCCGGAUUACCUUCUUCAAACGACGGCACUGCAGGAACUGAGUAUUUAUUUUUGUGAUCUUCUAGAAGAACUGCCCAUUCUAGAAGAUCGCAGGACAACAGACAUACCGCGUCUUUCUUCCUUGACGAUUUGGUAUUGCCCCAAAUUAACGGUGCUGCCGGAUUACCUCCUUCGAAUGACGACGCUGCAGGAAUUGACGAUUUGGUAUUGUCCUCUUCUGGAAGAACAUUAUGGAGAGGGGAAAGGAGAAGACUGGCAUAAGAUAUCUCACAUUCCCCACAUCAAGUGGUCGCCGUAAGAUAUCACUCGCUGGUAAUUUCUCCUCCUCUGAUUUACUUUGUUGUUGCUUGCAAUGAAAUUAAUAAAAAUAAUUAUAUUUUGAAUUAAAAUUCUGUAUAUUGCCAAUGCCUGACAGGAAUAUAUAAUAUUUUCUAAUAUUUUGAUUUGCGUAUUGAAUUUAACUAUUUACUUGAACCAUUAAUUUAAUGGAUCACUCUAUGAUACUGUUACAAAAAUUAUAGAAUCAAUUAUAGUAUAAAUAUGUACUGUUAGAUUUAAUCAAUAGUUCAUAAAGUUAAAAGUUAGUUAAGAUAAUAUUUUAAUUUUAGUUAUUUAAAAUUUAAACUUCCUAGUUAUCAAAUAAGUUAAACUUGUUUUCUAAAGAUUAAAUAAUUAAAAAUACAAGUUUAGUCUGUUGAAAUUUCUGUAUUUUCUUUUAAAAUAUAUGCAGUCUUUUGUAAAAUUUCAUAUAACAUCAUAGAAAAUCCUAACGUAUUUUAUUUUUUAAUGCACGGAAAUUUGUUAUGUGUAACUUCCUGAGAGACAAAAUCUCUGUGAUACAUUUGCAGUAAUGUUGAAAACUAAAUUAUCAAUUUUAUCUUGUAUAAUGAUAAUCGUAUUUUUUUAUAUAUAAUUUAUGUGACAUUAAUUCUUUAAAGUAAUUGUGUAAUUGUUUUUACUACAUUAGCCCUCUUUGUUUUAUUAAAUACGAGUUUAAUUAUGUUCAUCAGGGAUUCGAGGAAAUGUCAGAACCACACUAGCAAUUCGCAGGUCCAAGCUAAUUUGGUUUUAAUAAUGCAGGCAGGAGAGCAAGACUAUGAAAAUGAAAAAUUUAGCCAAAGGAUUGCUAAAAUGUUUUGCUGGUAAUUCACUUGCUUUAUUUUAUAGAAUUUCAUUUCCAUCUUCUUCUAUUGAUAUCUUGUUGUGAAUAAACAAGAACAGAGAAGUAAAGAUAUAUAUGAAAAUUCCCUAUUAGGAUGAUGCUAAAGCAAGCUCAAGCUCAAGCAUUGCAUUUUUAUUUUAUUUAAUUUAUAGAAUUUUCAUUUCUACCUGCAUUGCAUUUUUGUUUCAUUUUUUGGUUGACUUUGAAAACUCUAUGGAGAACAUUGGGGUAACCAAGGAUUAGGCUGGCAGUGGAACGACUACCACUGUGGUUAUUGUGCAACGUUUUGUCUGCUCUGUUUCAAUUGAGGAUGGAUAGCUGCCUGAAAGACAUGAUGAUUAUUAUUGCAUGAUGUUAAGGUGCUAAGAUUAUCAUUUCUAUCUUUUUUCAUUCUUUGAUCGGUUUAUCCUAUAUAAACAUAUGGAAUUAUGCUAAUAUUAUCAAAAUUUCCACCCAAUUUUCACUGUUGGUUGUGAUAACAUUUUCAGGCUCUCAAAAGCUACAAAACAAAGCAUUUGUGGGCUGAUAAUUUCCACAAAUUUGCAUUGUCAGAAUGCACUGUAAUGUUCAUUGUGUUCCUAUGUGUUAUCAGGUUAUCGUGGUAUGUAAAGUAUCAUCUUUAAGGAUUUGUAAGAGACUUUGCAGUGAACUUAGUUGUCACCAGCUCCUGCAAUUGCUCAUUCAUUCAAGAGUACUUCAAAAUUAGAUUUUCAAGGUUUGUAUGUUUAGUUGCGAUCAAAACAUUUAGUCACUCAUUCUUAAUCUUUUCUGAUUUUCAAGUUCUUUAAGGCCAUAAACAGUUUUCCAACUCAUUCUUAAUUUUUAGGUUGAUUUCGAGUACCCUGUUGAGGACAUUCCUGAGACCAAGGAUUAAGCUGGCGAGGGAACUGCUACCUCUGUUGUUAUUGUGCAAGGUUUGAUCAUUGGACCUUGAAGAAGAAUGCCUUACACGCAUUCUGUAAUUCAAGCAUUUUCUAAAGGAAAAGAGCAGUAGAAGGGAUAGUGAUGGCCGGAUCUGCUCUAUUUCAGUUGAAGAUCUCUGUGAUGUCGAUGAGCUUAAAGCAGUUGAUACUUCUUGAAAAUUAUUAUUACGGAUGAACUAAUUCCUGAAGACAGGUAUCCAAAUGCGUAUUUUCUUAAACUUCCAUUUUUAACAAAUGUUCCAACACUUGCUGGAGUAACAAUUUCAUAGCUUGCAUCUCUCGGGUGCAUCAUGUUCAGGGGUUGGAAAAAGCAUUUGUGGUAAAGCUUCAAAGCUUGUAAAAUGGCUGUGAAAAGGCACAUUCAAUUCGGUAUGCUUUGGUGCAGUCUUCUAAUGCUAAUAUUAUAUUUUGUAUAGCAAUCUUAAUAUGCAAUAAAUCAUUGUGUCCAAAGUUAUCUAUUAAUUAUAUGGUGACUGAAAUUUUAAUUAUCAUAUCAAUCUUAAAAUUUUUUGUAACCCUAUUUUACUUUGCUUGUACAGAAUACCUGUUUUGGCUGAUAUGUCUAAUUCCUAGAAAUUCAUUUCCAUUGGUUUUAGCUCAAACAGAAACCGAGAGCCCUGGGAAAAAGUUUUACUUUUUGUGGUAUUAUGCUUUGUUUCUUCAUUCAUCAUAUUUGUUUUGAAUUCAUGCUCUUAUUCAGAGAGUAAAGCCUUUUCCAGGCUGCUUUGUAGCCAAAUUUUGAUGCCAUCGAUGCAUGAUUGUCAUUUAGAUUUUCCAAUUAAUUGUUAGAUUGGAGAAGAUAAAAAGAUAUUGUUCAAAGGGUAUUUAAUUAGCACCCUCUGAAUUUAGUUGCCAAUAAUGCAUUGAAAUGGUUGGGCAAAGUUAUUGUCUUAAUUAAAUUACAGGCGAUAAGAUGCUGCUUCAAUUUUGCAAGCAUCUUGUACUGCGAAGAUUCUGCCCACAUGAGAUGCUGCGAUUCUUGACAUCGGGAUAGCAGAGGUCAAAUUUUAGUAUCAAUAUAUAUCAUCUUCUUUACUGUUCUGCCUCUAAAUAUUAAACUUUAAGCAAGUUUUUUUUUGUUUAAGUUAUCAGGUUAAGGAUACUAAGCCGCUUAUUAAGGCAAAUGUCAGAAUAAAGAUUGUUCACCACACCUGGUAUGUUUGAUGGCCAGGAAGAUUAAUUGUUCGCAAGCCAAUUUGAUCAGUGUUAGAUCCCUAAUAAUAAUGCAUUGGAUUUUCAUUUUAUUUUUAGGUUGACUUUGAAGACCCUAUGGAGAACAUUAGGGUAAUCAAGGAUUAGGCUGGUGAUGGAACUACUUCCACUGUGGUGUUGUGUGCAACGUUCAGUUGCUGGACUUUGAAGAAGAAAGUGAUGGCCAGGUCUGCUCUGUUUCAAUUGAGGAUGGAUAGCUGCCUGGAAGGCAUGAUGAUUAUUAUUGCAUGAUAUUAAGGUACUAAGGUCAUCAUUUCUAUCUUGUUUUUUUCUUUGAUCGGUUUAUCCUCUAUAAGCAAAUUCAAUUAUGCUAAUAUUACCAUUUUUUCACCCAAUUUUCACCGUUGGUUGUAUUAACAAUUUCAGGUACUCAAAAGCUACAGAGCACAGCACAUGUGGGCUGAUCAUAUGCUUCCAUGGAGGAAGGAAUUCGGUGUUAACACUAUUAUGCAGGUAACCGCAGUUGUUAAUUUGCACAAAUUUGCAUUGUCAGAAUGCCCUUUAAUAUUCACUGUGUUUCUUUUUGUUAUUCAGGUUACCAUGGUAUGUAGAGUAUCAUCUUUGAGGGUUUGUAAGAGCCUUUGCAGUAAAGUUACCUGCUCGAGCAAUUGCACAUUCAUCGAGUACAAUUUUGGAUUUUCAAGGUUUGUAUUUUUAGUUGUGAUUAGCAGGCUUAGUCACUCAUUCCUAAUCUUUUCUGAUUUUCAAGUUAUUUAGGUCCAUUAACAGUUUUCACACAUGUUUCAAUGCUGGUUGUAAUGACAAUUUCUCAUCUUGCAUCUCUAAGAUGCAUCACGUUUGAAACAGCUAUUGCGGUAAACUUUCAAUGCAUGUACAAUGGCCGUUAAGAGGUACAUUCAAUUCGGUACGUUUUGGUGCAGUCUUCUAAUGCUAAUAUCAUGUUGUGUAUAUUUAGUUUGCAAUUAAAACUUAGGUAUACAAUCUUAAUCUCAUAUAAAUCAUGGUGUACAAAGUUUUCUAUUAAUUAUAUGGUGACUAAAAGUUUAAUUAUCUUAAAAUUUUUUGUAACUCUCUUUUACUUUGCUUGUACAGAGUACCUGUUUUGGCUGACAUGUCUAAUUCGUAGAAAUUCAUUUUCAUGGGUUUCCAUUGGUUUGAGCGCAUACAGAAACAGAGCUUUACUUCUUGAGGUGUUAUGCCUUUGUCUCUUCAUUCACCAUAUUUGUUCGAAUACGUUGUCUCAUUAAGAAUUUAAAGCCUUUUUCUAGGCAGCUUUGUGGCCAAUUUUUUAUGCCAUCAAUGCAUGAUUGUCAUUUAGAUUUUCCAAAUAAUUGUUAGGUGGGGAAGAUAUUGUUAAAAGGGCAUUUAAUUUGCUACGUCCCCUAUGAAUUUAGUUGCCAAUAAUACAUUGAAAUUGAGAAGGCUAAUAGUUGAGGAAAGUUAUUGUCUUAAUUAAAUUACAGGUGAUAAGAUGUUGCUUGAAUUCAGCAUCUUGUAUUGCGAUGAUUUUGCCCACAUGAGGUUCUGUGAUUCUUGACAUCAGGAUAACUCAGGUCAAUUUUUUGUAUCAGCAUAUAUCAUCUUGUUUACUGUUUUGCCUUUAAAGAAUAAACUUUAGUGAAGUUGUUUUUGUUUGUGUAACUUAUCAGGUUAAGGAUACUAAGCAGCUUAUUAAGGCAAAUGUCAGAAUGAAGAUUGUUCACCACACCUGGCAUUUAUGAUGGCAAGGAAGAUUAAUUGUUCACAAGCCAAUUUGAUGAGUGUUAGAUUUUUGGCUUUAUAUAUUAUUAGAGCUCUCCCUUCUGAGAGAUAUCUCAUUAAAUUUGAGUAGAGCUCUCCCAAUAAUUGCAAGCUUUCAUUUGUUUGUAAAAUCAUCUUCUUAUAUUGAUUGUGUUUCCUUGUGUUAUCAGGUAGAGUAUCAUCUUCAAGGGUUUCAAAAAGUCUUUGCAGUAAAGUUUCAACCAAUUGCUGUGAAGAGGCAUAUUCAUUUGAGUAAUUCAGUUUCAGAUUUUCAGGGCGUGUAUGUUUAAUUAGUUUUGAUUAAAAUAUUUAGUCACUCAUUCUGAAUCUUUUCUAAUUUUCAAGUUCCGUAGGGCCACAACCAGUUUUUCAGGUCUGCAGAAACUAUCUUGAGUGUUGAGGAAUUGCGUUUGAGCACGCACAGAAACAAGGCUAAUGGAAAAGAACUUGACAGAAGAAUUAUGCUCUAAAUCUAACAAAAGUAUAUUUCUACUUCUUGUGGUUAUUUUACUUUUGUAUUUUCUGUCAUCAUUUUGAUUAAUUCAUUCGAAUUCAGACUCUCAUUAUUUAAAACCAUUUUCAGGUGGCUUGCACGCUAAUUAAGUUAACGCAGAAGCAUACUCUAGACAAAGAUGAGCAAAUUGAAGAUGAUAAAUACAUAUAUGGUGGCCAAGUCGCUCAUUACAUUUCAUCUCUCAUACGAACAUGAUUCUGAAUUUGAAUUUCCAUGAAUAAUUGUCGGGCUGGUGCAGAUAUUCUUAAAAGGGCAUUAAGCUACCUUAUGAAAUUGGAAAGUUAUCAUUGCUUGAAUGAAAGCACCAUCUUCUGUUGUCAAGGCUUUCCCCACACGAUGAGAUUCUGUGCUUGUUAUCGGCCGCUUAAUUAUUUAUUAAAUCAGGUUUUUGUUAUCAAGUACAUCAUCUUAUUCACCAUUUUGGCUAUAUAUAAAGAUUAAAAUUUCUAACAGUUGUUUUGGAUUCUUGUGUAAUCAGAUAAUUGGGGCAAAUGUCAGAAUGAGGAUUGUUCAGUGCUACUGGUACGGCAAUGAUGGUGAUGGUGAGGAAGAUUGUUCACAAGCCAAAUAGAGCACUCCAUUUUGUGAAAUAACAUCCUCAAAUUUGAAUUGUUGGGCAUAUGAAGUGAUGCUAAAGCCUUAAUAAUAGGACCUUCCAAUGAAAGUUUCAUUUGAGUGAAUUAUGGGAGAAUGAAAGUUCUUGGAGUGAGUGAGAAAUUAAGCAUAUAUCAGCGAGUAGUGAAUGUUUUUCUUUGACUGUGACGUAGACCAAAAGCUGAACAAUGUAAAAUUAUAUUGUUAUGCUUGGUUUGCUAUAUAUCAUUUCUGUGCAAUCAAGAAUGUAAUUUUGUAAUUAUUCAACUCUGCUUCCGCGAACAUGCGGUAUCUUGCAGUUUUUUUCUCCUUUUUUCUUUCUGCGUUAAAACUACAACAAAUGGAAGUGACUGGCUUGAUUUUAGCUCCUGUAAAAAAGUGCUUGGGGCAAUGUCUUUUGUAUCAGCAAGUUAUCAAACAUCAUAGUUUGAAUAUAGAAUCCUGAGUUGCUAUCGAAAAUUCCAGGUGUUUCACCUCUCAGUUUCUUAAAAGCUACAAAGCUUGAUAUAUAUUGACAAAGCAAACCGUCUGUGGGCUGAAAUGCUUCCCGGGAUCAGGAAGGAAUUUGGUGUUGACACUAUAUGUUAUGCGGAUAACUACAGUUGAUGAUUUUUACCCAAAAUUUGUCAUAGUUGACAAUUCACUUAUGCUGUGUUUACUUCACUUAUUUAGUGAAAGAUUGGGAAUCCCACUCUGUGGGCCCCAUAUAUUUUUGGAGUGGGGAGUGGGGGUGGGACUCCCAUUGGGGGAGGUGGGAGUGGGAAUCCACUCCCACCUCUUCCUUUUCUACCUUUUUUUUUUAAUUUUAAUUCAAUUUAAUAUUUUAUAAUUAAUAAAAUAAAAUAAAUAAUAUUAUAUUUAUUUGAAUAAUAUUAUUAUAUUUAACUAAAUAAUAAUUUGCAUUGAUUCUAAGUUAAAAUUAUUUUAAAAUAAUAUUAUUAUAUUAAUAGAGAAUUAAUAAAUAUAAUAUUAUUGUAUUUAUUUUAAAAAUAAUAGUACUAUAUUUAUUUAAUAUUAAUAAUAAUGAAUAGUUUAUUCUAAGAAAAUAUUAAUUUUGUACUAAAUAAUAUUAUAUUAUUAUUUUAUAUAAUAAUAAAUUUAAUAUAAUUAUAUUUAAAUUUAAUAUAAUUAUAUUAAAUAAAAUAAAAUAACGUUUCAUUUUAUAUUAGAAUUAAAAUUAAUAAAAAAUGUGAUGUUCAUAAUUAAGAAUAUUAAUAAUUAUUAUAAAUUUACAAAUAUAAUAAAAUAAAUAUUUAUUCAUUAAAUAUAUUUUUUAUUAGCUUCGUAAUUAAAAACUAUAAUUUUUUAAAUAAAGAUAAAAUUGUAAUUUGAAACUAUUUACUCUCAAUCCAAGACAAAGUAAACACAUAUAUUGGAUUCUGAUCUUCAUUCCAUACUUCCAUUCCAGUGUAAGUAAACAACUUAUUCCCACUCCCACUCCACACUCCCAAUCCUAGGAUUCACACUUCUCAGGAUUCCCACUCCAAUCCAAAAAGUAAACGCUACCUUACAGUGUUUCCUUGUGUUAUCAGGCUGUAAUGUGUGAAUUGAAAGAUUAAGAAAGAUUGAUUCUAACUAACUUAUGCAAUUGAUGAUUAUGAAAAAUCAUUUGCACUAAAGUUCCCAGCUUGUUUAAUUGCGGUGAAGAGGCACAUUCAUUCUGAGUACUUGAGUUUUAGAUUUCCAGGAUGUGUAAUUUUAGUUGCCAUUGAAAUAUUUAGUCGCUCAUUCUUAAAAAUCUGUUCUAGUUUUCCUGUUAUUUUGGGCCAUAAACAGUUUGACAAGUCUGCAUGUGGUUUCUAAAGAUUGAUGGUUAUGAUAAAUAUUGUGAGGUAUGAAAUAUUAAUUUGCUAUAAAUAUGUGUACAAAUUUUUCCUAUUACAUGGGGACUGAAAUUGUAACUUGCAGGGUCAAAAAAAAUCCUAAUUUGCUUUAGGUAUGAAAUCUUAAUUUGCUUAAGUGUCUGCAUUUGUGUACAAAGGAAAAAUAAGAAAUUCUGCUACAUGGGGACCGAAAUUUUAAUUGGCAGGGUCUUCAUCAAAUGUUUGUUAUCAAUACUGAUCCCGGAAUGUGUGGAACACGGUGAAAAGUUUUUCAUAGUUUUGUGAAGAAGGCUGAUUUAUCUGAUUCAUAGAAUUGUGAAAAGGGCAUCGGGCGGGGGACAAAAGAAGUGUUGAAAUUGAAAAGGUUAAUGGUUGAAGCAUGCAGUGUUGCAAUUAAGUUAUUAUUGUCUUGAAAUAACAGGAGAUGAUCAGAUGCUGCUUAAUGCAUGCAGUUUCUGUUGCAAUUGUAUUGGCCUGGGUUUAGGGAACUGUCAGAACUUUCAGAAGAAGAUGGAGUUUCUCAAACCAAAUAUAAGAAGAUAUCUCACAUUCCCCACAUGGUCUCAAUGCACAGGUAAGUUCUUCUCUAGCUCUGUUUUUCAUUGUUUGUUAUUUUUAAUGUAAAUAAGGAGCAGAGUUAAUCUCUUAUCUUGACCUUGCUUUGAGAAAACUGCUUUUACAUGUAUUUUUAAUUCAGAUGUCCACAAUAAUUUCAUUUUAGUUUGAGCUAAGUGAUAACUGUUGAAGGCUCACUCACUCAUUGGGAGAAGCUCCAUGACGCAGGCAGCUGGGAUUAGCUAGUGCAAUUGCUGUGAAGAGGCACAUUCAUUGGGAGAAAUUCAAUUUUAGAUUUUCUUAGUGUGUAUGUUUGGCUGCGAUUAAAAUGAUUUCUCUCGUUGUUAAUGAUUUCUGAUCAUUCAUCAUUUUGGACAGAGUUUGGAAAAAAAAAAUUAUACGUAAAUCACUUUCCAAUGGUUCAGUGAUUUUUGAUUGGUUGUAAAAUGUUGAACCUCUUUUCAGAUUUCCAAAUAACUGUUAGAUUGGAGAAGAAUAAGAAGAUAUUAUUAAAAGGAUAUUUAAUUAGCGCUCUCUGAAUUUAGUUGCCAAUAAUGCAUUGAAAUAGUUGGGGAAAGUUAUUGUCUUAAUUAAAUUACAGGUGAUAAGAUGCUGCUUCAAUUUUGCAAGCAUCUCGUAUUGUGAAGAUUUUGCCCACAUGAGAUGUCGUGAUUCUUCUGCUUCAAUACAGGUCAAAUUUUAGUAUCAAUAUAUAUCUUCUUCUUUACUGUUCUGCCUCUAAAUAUUAAACUUUAGGCAAGUUGUUUUUGUUUGUGUAAGUUAUCAGGUUAAGGAUUCUAAGCAGCUUAAUCAAAUUUGAGUAGAGAAUCUUUGAAUAGAAUUUUGUUGUGAGAGUUUCACUGUAGUGAAUUUUGGGAGCUUGAACUCACUUGAGUGAGAUAAUAUUAUCCUGGAACUCAAGUGAACUCAAGUAAGUACUAAAGCGCCUGGUUAUGGUGCUUUCAUUGGACUAUAUGCAAACAUGAGAUAUCAGCUAUUGUGUGGAUUUGAUAGAGCGGUCACCAACCAUUUUGAUGUUAUUGGAGUAGCACUGUUCUUAAGCACGGCUUUGAGGUCUCUCCGUCUUUCUUUUACGUAUUUGUCUAUUGAUCGACAUCUCUAAAUAUACAUUGAUAGACCAAAUUACUCUUGUUUUAAUGUUUUGUUUGUUGAACUUUGACUGGGUUAUUUGUUUAUUUGUCUCAUAUGAUGUUAAUGCGGUUCCUAUAAAAGUGGAUAUAGAUCUAUCACCUCAAAGUCUGAUUUCAAUUUUCCUUUACUUAAUCAACUAGCAUCCUUUCCAAGUCCAGAUACUUACCAAUAGUGAGACUUUGCUACGGAAGUACAAUUUCUCUUGUUUUACAGUUAAGUAUGUAAGAAUAGUUUCAAAUUUACAGAAUUCUGAUAUAGUUCUCUAAGGAAAUGCGGGUGGUGAAUAUGGUUCCAACUUUUAAUAGGCUUUAAUAGGCCCAUUUGUUCAGCCACAGUGAUUGCGGUCUAAAUUCUUCUUUACUGUCUAUAUGUGUUGGAGUUUGUCUAUUGUCCAACUUCUCCAAUGGAUUCCAUGCAGGGUUUUGAUGGUCUAAUUAGGAGAAAGAUCAACGGAUGACCUUUUGAAGAAGGCUUACACAACAGCCCAUCUCAGGAUGUCAUGGCUCAGCUCAAAAGUCCCCAGGUGGUUGAUACCAAGGAGUGCCAUUGUUUCUGGGCUUGGGCUCCUUGGCGUCAAACAAGAUAGUCCGGAGGAAGGUGACUGCAUAAAUUUCUUGGAGUUAAUGUAGUCAAUUGCCCAAUUUUGCUGCCUGUCGAAGAGACACAGCAUGGAAGUCGUCAUCAAACUCUGAGACACCUAAGAACUAGUAGGAGGUGGUGGUAUUCGCCUGGUGUUUCCUUGCAAGUAUGGUUCACUGAUACAGGGAUUCUUUUCU
rnacentral:lncRNA from 1 species